GUGUUUUUUUGUAAUUAAGCAUGACUUCAACUAUUUCAAUGUUUAAUUUUUAUAUUUUACAAUUUGAGUAGCUUAACCCAUGCCAUGCAAGACACUAUGUCUUGGAGAGGAUGGAUUUUGAAGACCAUGAAAAUUUCGAAACAAAGAAAAUUCACCUAAGGACCCAUCAUGGUAUGGAUUUUGAAGUAAAUCUGUACAAUUCUGAGAGCGUAACCCAUUUUGGUUGCAAAAAUUGGGAAGCACUUUGCAAGAUGUAUGAUUUUUAUGAGGGUAUGCUUGUCACCAUGGAUCUUGGUGAUCCUGACAUCGACCAAGACAAUAUGGACAUUUGGGUCGUUAUUGAUACACUUCCAAUUCUACCGCUAUGUGAGUUUCUCAAACAUAGUUAUUAACUAAUUUAUAUUAUUUAUUUCAAAAUAGUUGAUAACUUAUUUCCAUUGAUAGCUUAUUUUCAUUCUUCAAACAAUGUGCGGAAGAUGGUAGACAGAAACUACUACAUCGAUGGCUCUGAGUUAACUUAUCAGGAGAAAAAUCAUCUGAUCGCAUUUUGUACUAAUCUUGAGAAUUGCAAUACCUAUUAUCAAACUCCUCCACAUUAUGGUGAAUACGUGCCACUAGUGCACGUGUUGAACCACGCUAACAUCCAUGGACAUGCCAUGGUAAGAUUUUUAACUAUUACGACAUCCGUGCAUCUUUUGCAUAAAUUCUUUUAAAACUUAAGUACAUUGCUAACUACGAAGUUAUUACUAUGUUUUUCAACAGAAAAUCCCGUCGGAUUGUGUGCCUCAUCUGAUGUAUCAGAAUGGUCGCCUUGAUGUUUUGAACAUACAACCAGGUCAUCCUAUGAGUCACACAUGUGAAUAUCGGAUUUCUAAAAACAGUGAAGACCUGAUAAUCAAAGAAUGGAAAAAAAUGUAUGGUCAGUUGUAGGGAGGUUCUGGGAAGCAAGAUCGUGCGAGAGGCAAGAAUUGAAGACAGGAUAAUCUCCAUUCUCCAUAAUGGAGAGUCAGGGGCUAUAUUGUUUUAUGCUAUUUUACCUAGGAGAAGGUAGUAGGUCCUAGCUAAUACUCAUAAUUAUGUGCUAAGAACAACUAAGUAUGAUUGGUUAGAUGACUAUGAUGAUGAUGUGGUAUCGGUAUAAGUUGUAUGAUCGAUGAUGAUGAGUAUGACUUGUUAUUAUGAUACCAAUGAUGAGUUAUUUAUUAUUAUGAUCGAUGAUGCAUGAUGUUAAGUUGUUAUAUGAGCAUGAUAAGUUAUUAUAUAUAUAUCAGUAGAUGAAAUGAACAUGGAUUAGAUUUAAGUGGAGGCAACAUGUGGCGCACAUCAAAAGUACUACUAAUGCAAACUAGAUCAAGUUUGGAUUAGUAGUACUUUCGACAUGCUCCACAUGUUGCCUCCACUUGAAUCUACUCCACGUUCAUUUCACCCACUGUUAUAUAUAAUAACUAAUCAUGAUCAUAAAAUCAUGUGAUGAAAGUAUUGUAUGUAAAACCACAACGAAAAUAAGCUGUAUUUUUAAAAAUACAGGAAAAGUUAGCAGCAGCGCUUUUUAGAAGAAGCGCUACUGCUACUUAGUACUAUUAGCAGCGCUUUUCAAAAGAAGCACUACUGCUAACUAGGUAUAGUUGUAGCGCCUUAGUGGUAGCGCUGGUACAAGCGCUACUGCUAGCUCAAAAACAAGCGCUAUUACUAGGGUUUUCCCUAGUAGUGAUCGAUGGGUCUGAGGUGUCAGAGUCUUACGUGGCGGUGAUCUGGAUUACCGCAAAGCCCCUCCACCCCCAGUUUGCUUUCGAUUUGCAGAAAAAAGAUGUCCGGACCAGUCAGCGAAUGGAUACAUGACCGCGUUUGAUAGGAACACACGUCUGGACCGCGCGGCCUGGAAGGUUGCGGACAGUUUGAGGGUCUAUGGUUGAGAUGCCCUUACCCCUUGUGGGGCUCCCGCAAGGGUUACUUUCUUGGCAUGCGAGCUCUCAAGUAAUGUGACCAGAACACCGCCCCAUGUUGCGUGAUGGGCGCUCCCUUUGGAUUUCUUUUUUUAAAUACAUGUUUCUGGGUUUUAGAUAUUUUUUGUUUUUUGGCUUUUCGGUUUUUGCUUGGUUUUCUCUAAGUUUUGGAGGAUUUUUUUGGAGGGGCGAGGAGGGUGGUUCUUCUCGAGAAUAGUGCUUUUCUGCAAGAGGCACACCAUGUGCUAAGCACAGUUGUCCUUUCAAAAUAAAGAAAAACACAGUUUGUGCCUCACUAGAAAGCAUAGUUCUGCUUCUUGUGGAGGCACAUAUUUACUUCCACACUCGCGAGUGUUGAGUAUCGUGAUUAUUAGGAAAUCUAGGAUAGAGUAGGAUAUUAUUUUACCUUGCCUUGUACUCCAAAAUGAUUAUGUACUCCUAUAUAUAUGCCCAUCAGACGCAAGCAAUACAACAAACUAUUCCACCAAUUCCUCUCUCUCCCUUCUAACAUGGUAUUAGACUGCGUCAGACUCGUCGGCUGUCUCUGCUCAGGCGUCGCUGCUCCAUUGGUCGCUCGGGCCUCGCUGCCCGGGCGUCGGUGUUGCUUUGGCAUCCCGGGUGUUGGUGCUGACGCGCUCGAGCGCCCGACUUCCCAUGCCGUCCGUCAUCGCUGGCUUCAUCUCAGACUCUGCCUCCACCGAGCGGCAUCCCCGACCUCACGCGCAAUCGGCUUGAUCACCCGCUCGCCACCGUGAUCCGCCCCAUCUACGUCGCACGACCGACCUGGCCAGUCGGUGGUGCGCGCCUCCGCGGGUCCCGUGAAGAUCGUUCCCGAGUUCAGCGCGCCCCUCCACCAAUCGAGCAUUGGGCUGCCAUUGCGUCGCCCCGUCGGGCCGCAGCGCCGCCGCCCCGUGGUUCUUCUCUCGGUUGCACCGACCCGCGUCACCGCUACAUCGCCCCUUCAGGGCGGAGUGCCGCGGCCCGCGGUCCACAGCCGCCCCGAUGUCGUCCGAUCCAGGUCGUCCACGUGGUUGCACCGACCCACGAGCCGCCGCUGCAUCACCUCGUCGGGCCGUAGCGAGCGUGGCAUGCGGUCCAUGCCGCCGUCGCGAGACUGUUCCCGUGGUUGCACCGACCCCGGGUUUCGGCACUUCGCCGCCCCUUCGGGCUGUAGCGCUGCGGCUCGCGGUCCCCGCCGCUGCCCCGAGGUUUUCACGGGCGUCGCCCCCCUGCCCGACGCCACUGCGUCGCCCCUUCGGGCCGUAGCGCCGCGGCCCGCGGUCCACUCCGCCGUCACCACGCGUCGACCUCCCGUGGUAUGCGCCGCGCCGUCUUCCUUGGAGUGGGAACACCACCGUCCGCGCCGGUCUUCGUCACGCGCUGUCAGGGUUCUUCGCCUACUUCGAGCACCGCCGCCGCGCUCCUAAUCUAGCCGCCGCUACCCCCGUAGCCGCCGUCGCUCGUCCACCUCCUUCGUCUUCAUCCAGCACUAGCCCAUCGCCGUCAUCUACCUCGACCACUUCGUCUACUCUGAUAACCGCGGGCGACAUCGGCCCCGCACCUAUUGGCGCCGCAACCGUCAUCGAGUUCGUCUCUGCUAGCCUCUCCGACUUCUUUGACAUGGCGUACAGCUCGUGUAGGUCCCCUUCUACGCAUGCCCGGUGCUGGCAACACCGAUGCAUGCCUUCGUCCAUGAUGUGUCCCCGGGCCUGGCAAGCCUGGAUCGGCGCUUUGUCAACUUCGUCUUCGUUCGUCUACGCAUGCCCGAUACUGGCAACACCGAUGCGUGCCUUCGUCCACGAUGUGUCCUCGGGCUUGGAAAAACCCCCGCGACGCGUCGUCAACAACGUCUUCUUCUCGGCGCACCACUACUUCGACACCAUUGCGCCCAUGACUAACUCGACGCCUCCUCGCGCCUGCGGCUCCACGGUGACUUCCUCGACACCGGCUACCCCGGCUCGACAUCGACCACGGCAUUAUUCGCACGGUUACCUCGAGCACGGCUCCACCACUUACGCUCUUGGCUACCUCGACAAACGGAACAAAGGGCUACGGCCUUGCUUGAGCAACCUCGUCGGUUUCCACUCCAGCCACGACUUCGCGAUGCAUCGACCGUUACGAUUGUGGGGGAGUGUCCGUCGGGUGCCUUCGGAUUCUUCACCAGUCUCACCAUCUGCGUCGCUACCGUUCUGACUGCAGGGGGAUGUUGAGUAUCGUGAUUAUUAGGAAAGCUAGGAUAGAGUAGGAUAUUAUUCUACCUUGCCUUGUACUUCAAGAUGAUCAUGUACUCCUAUAUAUAUGCUCAUCAGGCUCAAGCAAUACAACGAACUAUUCCACCAAUCCCUCUCUCCCUUCUAACAGCGAGAAGCACAACUUGUGCUUCCACGAUAAGCACAAAUUUACUAAUGAAAGCACAGAUUUAAGUUGUGCUUCUCAAAAAAGGAAAUACACGGAUAAGCUUGAAAGGAAAAGCACACUUAUGUAAGAAAACACAUAUUUGCUUUCGUGGGAAGCUCGACCUAUUUUUUUUUCUUACUCUUUUUGGUUUUUGAUUUUUUUCAUGAAAAAAGUUCAUCGACACCUAUUAGCAUGAGAUCUAGUUUUGAAGAUCUCGACGUGAGAAAUCCAACAAUGAAAAUGGUUCAGUAUUUGGACGCACAGUUCGGGAGAUAAAACAUUUUAAAUAAACGAAUCUACGGAAAAAAACACCAGGUUGCGAGAAGUGACGCACAUGCAGUACCCCACUUGUUGGCACCUGAGAAGGUGGGGAAUGACAUUUGUUAGGGUUACCCCGUAACUAGUGAUUUCGCUAAUACCCAUCCAGCAAAAAAAAAAAAACUCUCCAAAUUCUCUGGUUUCUCAAAGGAAAAUUUUCCUUGAUCUCAAACAAACAAAACACCUAAUUCUCUGGCUUCUCAAAAGAAAAAUCUCCUAAUUGUCUGUGGUAUGUACAUGGCGACCCAAAAUCACAGGGCAUUGAUGAACAGGUAUAUCGUUUCACCAUUUACAAACACAUUAUGGUUAUAUUGGGAGCGCUAUACGAGGGGAAAAGGCGAUAUACAGAAACGAGUUUACGAAUCUUAGCACAGAUCAGCGACCCACAGUCGACGUGGCACAAAUCUUCUCCCAAUACACCAAGGCUGUUUUUGAUCUACCAGGAUUAGUUCAGUGGCCCAUAGGGUGUUUUGCUAUCUUGUGUCUGGUAGCAGGGUUUAGCAAAGGUUCUACUAGUUCUCUUCAUGAGGUAAAGAAAAUUUUUGCAGGCAAAAUAAGCAGACUGGAUGCUACUCCCUCUGUUCUAAAUAUAAGUCUUUAGAUUUCAAUGCGGACCACAUACGGAUGUAUAUAAACGUACUUUAGAGUGUAAACUCACUAAUUUUAGGACUACAUACUUAUAUUUAGGAACGGAAGGAGUAUAAAUCUGACAGGCAUGUUUCUAUUCACACCUGCAGUUCCGAAAGUACCAGUCCAAGUGGAAAAAAAUAGAUUGUAAGCAUGCACUCAGCCUUGUGUACUCCCUCUAUUUCCAACUGCACAAGCUCUCUUACAUCAACCAAACCAUCUCACCUCCAUCAAGUAGCGAAAGAUAAUCUACAUUACAUGAUAGAAUCCACUGUUCUCUCUCCCUGUCACCACACCACACUGCCCGAGCUAACAAAUUACAGACAGCGGAGGGAGAGAAUGCAAGGGCAAAAAUAGAAUCAAAUUGAAUACAAACGGUCAAAACCUCAAACGGAGAAGGAAAAAAAAAUACCAUCCACAAAAAUCUAGAGCAAAACUUCAUAUUUCCAGUGUUGGAAACUAUAUGAACCCAAGUACCGUGGAGUGCUUUCAUAAGGGAACCAAGAAUAAGGUUCUUCAACUUGCAUUCCCUUUUACCAAUCGUACGAUAGUAAUUCAGUGUUGUUCACUUGCGUCUCUUCCGUCGCGAUCAUCCUCGGGCUCCAUUGCCUUUACAGUACUUUUCUCAUGGCCAUCAGACAGCUUCUUGAACACUGCAUUCAUGUCAUCGAUGGUCUUCGCCUCGAUACAACUCAUGUUGCUUUCAGGCUCCCCAUCAUCUCCGGCCAAAUGCAGACUUUCAACAUGUGCUCCUUCUGGAAGACUGUCGUGUCUCGGGCGCUCGACAGCCUCUGCAUAUCCAACUUUAUCUUCGUUUUGUUCAAAGUAAUUGUUCACAUCAACACUAGAGUGUUCCUUUGGAACAGCAGAAAUGUCCUCCACUGAUUUUGCAUCAAUGACAUGCAACUGUCCAGAUCCCUCCAAAGGCUCUGAGUCGAUAUCAACGCCUGAGAUAAGUGCGGUUUCAGCGUCAAGGAUGGGCCCAUCAACCCCACCAGCACUUGCUUGUUUAAAGGCCAUCUCUAUGUCCUCCAGGGACUUGGCAUCAACAGCCAUCAUCUCAGCAUCAGUUUUAGCUGUCCCAAGCUCAUUUUUAGUAACUUCCAGUUCAGUUGCUCCAACUGCUAAGUAUGCUUCUGACAGAGUAUUGACUGAAGGUGUUUCUGUGACUUCUGGCUCGUGGCAUGGUAGGUGUUUCUGUAGACUUUCAACAUGUGUUCCUUCUGGAAGACUGUCGUGUUUCGCGCAUUCUGCAACCUCUCCACAUCCAACUUCAUCUUCGCUUUGUUCGAAGCAAUUGCUCACAUUAACAUUAGAGUGUUCCUUCAAAGCAGCAGAAAUGUCUUCAACAGAUUUUGCAUCAAUCACAUGCAGUUCUUCAGAACCCUCUAAAGGCUCCAAGUCAAUAUCAACGCCUGAGAUGUGUGCGGUUUCAGCCUCAUCAACACCACCACCACUCGCUUGUUUAAAGGCCAUCUCUAUGUCCUCCAGGGACUUGGCAUCAACAGCCAUCAUCUCAGCAUCAGUUUUAGCUGUCCCGGGCUCAUUUUUAGUAACUUCCAGUUCAGUUGUUCCAACCACUAAGUAUGCUUCAGAUGGUGUAUUGACUGAAGGCAUUUCUGUGACUUCUGGUUCGUCGCAUGGUAGAUUCAAGUCUCUGUUCAUUGCUUCAAGAAUCCUUCGCCGUGGAUUGUAGACAGUUUGCUCAGGAUCAUCAUGAGAUGAUCCUAAUGACCAACUGAAUUCAGGAUCAGUGCCGCUUAGAUAAUCAACCAAUGGGGACAGACCGCCAGAGUCUAAUGCACAGGCAUCUGAUGUGGCAGUGUCACCAGAAGUCUUAGGGCUAAUCAAGGAGUCUUCUGCAACACCAUCGGCAGGGUUGUAAGUACGGGAGCUAAGAUCAGGCACCUGCUGAUCCAGUCUCACCGGUUCUAUCCGGAAGUCUCCCACCGCAUCCAGUUCCGACAGGAAACUUUCAUCAAUACCGUUAUCCUCUAAAGGCUCAGGAUAGAUUCUAUCAGCAUCAUCAUCAUCAGAAUCAAGUAGAUAAUCAGAAGUCAUUUCUUCAUUCAUAUCAACCAUAUCCACCCUGUCAGGUUCAGAAGCCACCGAAAAAAAUGGGUUUGAGACAUCUUUAGGUUCAAUCGAUGGAGAUUGGUUGGAACCACUCGCACCAGGAGGACACAAGGAAGCAACCACAGAACUUGGGCUUACUUCCGAUGCAACAUCAAAGUGCUCUUCAAUUACAUGCAAGUCAGUCAUGGCAGUACCAGAACCAGUAAACGCUCCAGUUUCAUGCUUUUCUUCCAUGUUGAAGUUCUCGAGAACCCUCUCCUCAGGGAUAGGGUGAAGGUCCAUAGAUAUUGCUGGUAAUGUUUCCUUUUCAAAAUCAGUUAGCAAGUCCUGAGGCCCAUGAAUAAGGUUUUGUAAUGGGAUUUCAUUGCUUGGACAGGACAUGGAAUCAACAUUUCCAUCUUCCUCGGCAAUACUGGUGGCACCAAGACCAAGGUCCCUUGAUCUCAAUUCAUGAUCUUCAGCUGGCCUAGGAGAAGAAAGCCAUUCUGAGACUUCAGCUGUUAUGUUUGGUGCUAUAGAAGACUUGGCACCCAGGACGCUUUCACCUGGACAAGAGUACAUCCAUUAUAUAAUAAGAAGACAAUACGACCGAAAAAGAGAGAAAAGCUAGAAAUUCCCAUCCACCCGUUAAUUUUGUGGACCUAUUUUAUUAGUGGACUACGACCGACAAACCUUCACAGCGGUACUUCAGAUUACAGCCGAUAGAUCAUCAUGAAUGUAACUAAACAGAACUGAACCGGUAAAUCUUCAUCACCGCGCCUAAAUAGUUCACAACCAAUGGACCAUCACAACUAUACUUAAACAGAUCGCAACCAUGGUCAUCUUAGACAUGUAUUAGAAUUAUUAUGCUAUUUACAAUAAUAACACCAAAAUGGUUGGCGGGCUGUUUGAUCCAAAAUUAAACAAUGGGGUGGAAUCGACUACGGCCGUUCAUGAUCAAUUUAGACACGAUUUUGGAGAAUACCCAUUAGUCGUGAUACUAUAUUUAGUACACUUACAAAAAUCCAUCAGUUGGAUAUAUAUCGACGCUGAUCCGUUCAGGUAAGGAUGUUGAGCGGGAAAUAGUGCUAGUUGUUCAAAUAAAACUCUAUCGUGCGCGGGGUAUUCAUUCAUUUAAGUUGUCAGAUGUAAGUUGCUUACCAUCCCCAUCAUCCCAGCUAAGCAAGUCACCAACUGGAUGAAGUGGCACCGUAGAAUUCCCAUCUGACUUGAGCAUGUAAUUGUCAUCAUGACCCUUCCCUUUUGUUGAGACAAGAUAUGCCUCUCUUUCUUCGGAUCUUUCGAAGACAAAAUGAUGCAGAGCAAUCUCACGCUCAUCAAUGUCACUGUUGUCUAGUUCAACAUCCACGGAGUUGAUACCAUCUGAACAUUCACUGCCAGCAUCUGCAAGGUCACUGUCCUGUCUCAGGAGAGCUGGUGACUCAUGCUCCCUGUGCACAUCCUUUUCAUCGAGGUCCUUGUGUUCCUCCUGAUCGGCAACCGAAGAAGCCAUAUCAGAUUCAGUAACAGAACUCAAUUUGGACUCACUCUUGUCACUGAACUGCCUUUGAAAAGUACUUGUGCUCCCUUCUACUGUCUCAGGGACAAAAUAUGGCCUCAAUCUAGACAAACGUCUCUCCUGCGUAGCAUCUGUAGUUCCAAAGUUGAAGCUCUCGUGCCUUCUAAAUAUUUCACGAUGAGAAGUUUGUGGUGAUUCCCCAGGGCUUAAAUUAUCAUGUGCAGAAACGCCACUUUCACUGGAAUGCUCAAGAAAAUCAAAUGGGUUCUUUCUUGCAUGCAGGAUUGAAGGAGCUGAGCCAGGAAUUGCCGCCUCGUCAGAAUCAUAUGGAAGGUCAAACGGGUUCCUCCUUGUUACUGAGAUGUGUGAUACUUGUGCACCAAAGCGUGAUAAGUCAUCUCCGCUUUUCCCAUUGGCAUCCGUUAGGUUACUGUCAAUGUCAAAUAUUAUAUUCUUCCUGGAUCUUCGCCUAACCAUCAAAAUCUCCAAUCUACGGUUUCUUUCCAUCUCAGAGUAUCCAAGAUCCAUCAGAUUCUUUGCAUCAUCUGCUGUCCAAAUAAAUGCAGCUUCCUGACCUUCAUCUUUCUUGUUCUCCUCACCACCAUCUUUAGUAUCAUUGUUGCCAUCAUCAUCAUCAUCAUUACUAUCAUCAUCCAUUUCAUGAUCCUGCGAGGAGACAUGUGAAUCACUGUCUGAAUCAUCAUUAGGAAUGGGAUCAGGACGAGUGAAAUCAGCACCCAGAAGAGGGUCGAUUUCAUCAAGAACUGGUGCAAUGUCAGUCAUGGAUGCAUCAGGUGAAGAACUCUCAGCCCCAUCAGAGUCAAAACCAGAUGAACCAUCCUGACUGCCAACUGAUGCCCAUGGUGAACCAAGAGAGGAAUCAAGGAGAUUUUCCUCAACGGCCUUGCUAGUAUUAACCUUAAGCACAUCAAGCUUUUUAUUCUGCCGCACAGAAACUGCAUAAGUUGGUCUGCUAGUUCCAGCUGUCCCAUCAGUCAGCUUCUCUUCAGAGAAAUCACUCACUUUGCUAGCUGCUAGAUUCAGAUUCUCCUGCAUUUCAGCAUGCUUAUUAAAAUUCUCACUGGAUGAGAACAUGUCCAAGGGUGCAUUCUUCUCAUCCAGACCUUCAAAUAAGCUAGCGUUCCUAUCAGCCAUAUCUGUCACAAAAAAUGAAUCUGCGAAUUGCAUUCCCUGGUUAAAGUUUAAGCCCUCCCUAAUCCCAGCCUCUCCACGGAAAUUGACCAUGGAAGGAAAUGGAGUUAAUGUUUUAGGUUUGUCGCCAUGUUCAAACCUCUCAUCUUCUUCAUCAACUCUUCUCAGAAGAGGAACCUCAUCAUCAAGCUGAGUAGACCUCUCUCUGACAGAACCUGUCCGCUUUGUUUCCCUUUCUUUGAAGUUUUCUGUAGUAUUCCUAAAACUAGGCACCGAAAUUCUCUGAUCUGACCCAAACUGAACAUCCCUUGAAGAAUUCUCCAUCUUAAAAGCUGGAAUCUCUGGAGUAGUCUUGGUAUCCUCAUCAUUAGCUUCAGGUAGGUUCGUGUCUCCAUAACUCAGUAGGAUUCCCAGAAGAAGAGUGGUACAUAUAAUUACAGGUGAAGAGGAAAGAAGGAACGCAAAGAAUCCCGGGGCAGAUCUGUACAAUAAGUAGAGCAAAACACCCAAACUGAACAGGACUGGAUGUUCAGAGACACAUCUGUAGCUUGUUCUAAUGGAGGACCUCAGAACUUUCUUGAUACACAGACCAACUUGUUUUGUCUCAAGAGCCAUGGCAUGUACCCUCUCAGUCUCCAGCACAAACCUAGCAUUGCAAAAAAUACAGAAAAUAUUCAGUUGGUUCAUCUAGUAAAACAUAGAAUUUUGUAUCACUUGGUGCAUAUAAAAUUAUUUCCAAAAAAAAUCUGUUAUGCUAACUUAACAAAUCAACGCAAGUUAUGGUUUGUUCCUAAUUUUUAAGAGAGCCGAGCUAAUCCGAAUAACCACAGUUCAGUAGACCAACUGCACCAAUUUUUUGCAAUUGAGCCAAAUACAAGAUGGUUAGAUCCAUAGGAGAACUAGCUAGUAAAAUUAGAUCGGGAGUACCCUAGCGCAAACAUAAGGCGAGCUAAUAAGCAACUCUUAUUAAGAAAUUGCCCAGCAAUUGGCAAUUCACAAAUCAAUUUCCUCAACAACAAAGAAAAGGCAAGCCCGUUACCAGGCAGAUCAUCGCUGGUGGGACACUAUCUAGCAUCAAAAGAGCUUCAGAUGCGAAAUCGAUAAGCUAAACCCCGACUAGAGUCUAGAGAAGGUGAGUCAUAGCACGAACAAUGGAAACGCCAUCACCUUUACUGCUUAUCGAGCACAGAUCUUCCCCACGGAGAACUCAAUCCCCGGCCACAACGAACACUAGACAGAGAAUCAAGACACGAGCGUAAGCGAUCCCGUCGGUCAGGGACCCCCAGGGCUCGCUAUCUAUGAGCAACAGCGUACCUCCGAGGAAGCUCUGGCGGGCGGGCGGGCUGGCGGCUACCACGAGGCUCGGGCGGGGAAAGCUCCAAGAAGCGGAAGGAACAAAACAGCCGGAGCUGAACUCCUGUGCUGUGCUGGAACCCAGCGACCCGGCCAAAAGGAGGAAGCCAAUAGCAAGAAGCGAUCGGCCGAGCGCCGGGGUCAAAUCACAGCGGCGUCAGCGCAGAAAUGCAGUGCCGGGCGCCUUCGUCUCCCCGCGGUGGGGCAGCAGCUGAUAGAAGUGCGGGUCGGGAGCUUGGACCGCCGCUUUCGGCGGCGACUUCGCGGUGCAGCGAAGCGGAUUUGGUGGCGGUGGUGGGGGGCGGCGAUGGCGAGGAGAAGGGAAAGAGAGGAGAAAAAAAAAAGAAAGGGGAAAAGGAAGGGGGGCAGUGGCGGAGAAAGCGGAAGGGAGUGGGCGGGCCCGGCCUUUCUGUCUCUCUGUUAAUGCGGCUGUCCCACUUCGUUUGACUGGUAGGUGGGUGCCACGUUGCGUGGGCCCGGGAUGUCAGGGGAGAGGGCGGGCCAUGCCUACGUGGAGGAAGGCGACGGCGGCGAGGAAUUUUCCUUUUCUCUGCUGGGCAGGCUGGCGGGCAGGGUCUGGCUGGUGUCGGACCGGCGGCACCGGCCACGGCGCGGACGAUCAUCCUUUUCGCUGCUGCUGCCGUCAUAUUGUUGCGGGUUGUUUUCGCUGUGGACCACGCGCACGCGCGCAAGAGAGAGAGAGAAGAAGGGUGGAAAUGAUUUGAGCGUAGCUCAUAUUGUUACGGGUUUUUUAUGAGACAAGUAGGAUUCAAGUCUUAGAUUUUGCAUUGGGGUUCACAUUCUAGACUUAUAACACAUGCAGCGACAUGUGCUCUUUACUUUCGUGUUGAAGCCUCGCGUGACCUCCGCGCUCCUGAGCCCGCCGUGUGUCCACCUCAAACCCCGCCGCCUGCCACUCCGGCCGCGGCGGCCACCUCUCCCUCUCCCACGGUAUGGCUUCGGGGUCCCGCUCGUCAUCGGCGUCCGCGCGCCGUGCUGAGGAUCGUCCGGUGGUGUCGGGGUUAGGUCUUUCGUCAUCCUCGGCCUCCUCCGGCCCCCAUGAGCAGGCGGAGGUCUCAUCUCGCCUGCGUGCGGAGGUUGACGCUCGGCGGCAUGAGGCUCCAUGGGUGCAGCCGCCUCCUUCCAAGCGGUCCAAGUGGCGACGCCGCCUUGACCAAGAUCCUCGGCUGCAGCGCCAUCCUUCCCCACCUCAGCCUCGGCGCGAGGUCUCGCCGGAGAUGGCGGGCCUGUGCUUUCGCUGCUUCCAAGACGACCACUUUCGGCGCGACUGCACCAACGAAGAAGUCUGCAUCAGGUGCGGGCGCUCUGGGCAUGGAUCCCGCAACUGCGACCGCCCACGCAACCCGUCGCCGCCGGAGGUGCUGCGCCGCAUCGUUGCGGACCGGGUGGCUCGUCGGGGCGCCGGCGCGGCUUCCGCGCAAGGUUCACGGCCGGCUGGGGUCGCUGGUGCUAGUUCCAGCCGGGAGGGCUCUCUCCAACAACCGCGCCGGGGCAUGGCGCCACCACCGCCGCCGCCCCCCGCUCGUGAUGCGGCCAAUCCUGUGUGGCCCCUGCUCCAGGCGCCGCGGCUCGUUCUUCCGACGGACUCGGAGUUUGAUCCCAGGGAUGUGUGCAUCGUGCGCCGCUCUCACUCCCUGGACGAGAUGGAGAGGCGCCUGCAGCUCUCCAUGGUUGCCUAUGCCGCUGGUGCAAGGAGAGACAUUUCACCGGCGUUCAUCCUCGAGGCCCUGCAGGCCAAGGCGGGCAUCGAGGCACACUGGGUGUCGGUGCAUCGUUACCAUCCGGAGGACUUCCUCAUCGUCUUCGCCCGGCCGGAGUUCAGAAACCGGGUGUCGGCUAUGCCGACGAUCGAUCACUGCGGUGUGCGCCUCGUCUUCCGUCAGUGGAAUAGGCAAGCUCAGGCCACGCAUGCGGUGCUCCGAUUCAAGGUUCUGCUGGAGAUUGAAGGUAUCCCUCCGCAUGCUUGGGAUAGAGAAGUGGUGGAGAGGCUGCUAGAUUCAUCGUGCCUGGUGGAAUCCAUUGCACAGGAGACGGUGACCAGGGAAAAUCUUGCUUCGUUCAAGCUCUCUGCCUGGACGGCAGAGCCGGAGGCGAUCCCCACCCUGCGCUGGUUGGCGGUGCCAGAGCCAGGGCCGCAGCUUCACAUGACAGAGCCGGCUGUUUUGCAUUACAAGGUCCUGAUUCAUCUGGAUGAAGUGACUGACUUUCAGGAGGCAGACGAGCCAUGGUUCCUGGGCGGCUCCUCGGACAGCGGGCAGAGUGGCAUCCCCGACGAGGACAGCAUGGGCGGCGGCGGAGGUCCGACGACGACACGGCGACAGUGGCAGUCAGGUGUGCGGGAUGCCAGAGGUAGUUUGUCGGGAGGGCUUAGUGGAGGCGCUGCCAUGGAUGAAACUCAAAGAGGUGGCCGGAGGGCCGGCGGCCAGGACUGGCGGUUGUCACCCAUGGAGGCGCCGCCGGUGAUUCCUGUGCGAAAGUUCACCGGUGUUCGUGAUAGGAUCUCGGUCAGACCAUCUGCUUUUGACCGGCUGACGAGGAGGGUGGAGGAGGCACAUGAUAAGGAUCCGUUGGAGCGACACAGUGGGGUCACGGAAGAGCUUUUGACCAGGGAAGGAGAUCAAAACUUGAACCAGGACAAAGAGGCGCAGCUACCGAGGAGGAUUCUGGCAUCAAUCAUUACCGUGCCAUCCCCGCCUCGCGACAAAGAUGCGGGCCAGCUGUCUCUGGUGGUCGCAUCAGGUGGGGGCCUGCAGCCUCCCGUGGCUGGUCAGGAGGAGCCUGGCCUCACUCCGGUGGGAACGACGAGGCAGGAGGUCCAGGAUGCGGGGCCACCGGCAUCGGAGCAUGUUGCCGGAUGGACGGGAGUGGAUAAUUACGGGAUAGCCCCAAUCAUUGGGCAUGAGGAGACGCCCUCCCAAGACACGACGGCUGUACCCACGCGAGCUCAGCCGGGUCAGGAGAUGGGAUCGACCGGGGAGACAAUAAUUGCGUCCAGUGGAGACCAGGUGGUGGGUCCGACUGCGGGGGUAAUGAUGUUGAGGAACGUAGUAAUUUCAAAAAAUUUCCUACGCACAUGCAAGAUCAUGGUGAUGCAUAGCAACGAGAGGGGAGAGUGUUCGUCCACGUACUCUCGUAGACCGUAAGCGGAAGCGUUAUGACAACGCGGUUGAUGUAGUCGUACGUCUUCACGAUCCGACCGAUCCAAGCACCGAACGUACGGCACCUCCGAGUUCUGCACACGUUCAGCUCGAUGACGAUCCCCGGGCUCCGAUCCAGCAAAGCUUCGGGGAUGAGUUCCGUCAGCACGACGGCGUGGUGACGAUGAUGAUGUUCUACCGGCGCAGGGCUUCGCCUAAACUCCGCGACGAUAUGACCGAGGUGGAAUAUGGUGGAGGGGGGCACCGCACACGGCUAAGGAACGAUCCGUAGAUCAACUUGUGUGUCUAUGGGGUGCCCCCUACCCCCGUAUAUAAAGGAGGGAGGGGGGAGGCCGGCCGGCCCUUGUUGGGCGCGCCAGGAGGAGGAGUCCUCCUCCUAGUAGGAGUAGGACUCCUCCUUUCCUACUCCUACUAGGAGGGGAAGGAAGGGGGAGAGGAGGGGAAGGAANNNNNNNNNNNNNNNNNNNNNNNNNNNNNNNNNNNNNNNNNNNNNNNNNNNNNNNNNNNNNNNNNNNNNNNNNNNNNNNNNNNNNNNNNNNNNNNNNNNNNNNNNNNNNNNNNNNNNNNNNNNNNNNNNNNNNNNNNNNNNNNNNNNNNNNNNNNNNNNNNNNNNNNNNNNNNNNNNNNNNNNNNNNNNNNNNNNNNNNNNNNNNNNNNNNNNNNNNNNNNNNNNNNNNNNNNNNNNNNNNNNNNNNNNNNNNNNNNNNNNNNNNNNNNNNNNNNNNNNNNNNNNNNNNNNNNNNNNNNNNNNNNNNNNNNNNNNNNNNNNNNNNNNNNNNNNNNNNNNNNNNNNNNNNNNNNNNNNNNNNNNNNNNNNNNNNNNNGGUUUUCUCCGAAAUCACCCGGAACACUUCCGGUGUCCGAAUAUAGUCGUCCAAUAUAUCAAUCUUUAUGUCUCGACCAUUUCGAGACUCCUUGUCAUGUCCGUGAUCACAUCCGGGACUCCGAACAAACUUCGGUACAUCAAAACUUGUAAACUCAUAAUAAAACUGUCAUCGUAACAUUAAGCGUGCGGACCCUACGGGUUCGAGAACUAUGUAGACAUGACCUAGAACUAUUCUCGGUCAAUAACCAAUAGCGGAACCUGGAUGCCCAUAUUGGUUCCUACAUAUUCUACGAAGAUCUUUAUCGGUCAAACCGCAUAACAACAUACGUUGUUCCCUUUGUCAUCGGUAUGUUACUUGCCCAAGAUUUGAUCGUCGGUAUCCAAUACCUAGUUCAAUCUCGUUACCGGCAAGUCUCUUUACUCGUUCUGUAACACAUCAUCUUAUAACUAACUCAUUAGUUACAAUGCUUGCAAGUAUUAGGUGAUGAGUAUUACCGAGAGGGCCCAGAGAUACCUCUCCGACAAUCGGAGUGACAAAACCUAAUCUCGAAUUAUGCCAACCCAACAUGUACCUUCGAAAACACCUGUAGAGCACCUUUAUAAUCACCCAGUUACGUUGUAACGUUUGGUAGCACACAAAGUGUUCUUCCGGUAAACGUGAGUUGCACAAUCUCAUAGUUGCAGGAACUUUGUAUAAGUCAUGAAGAAAGCAAUAGCAACAUACUAAACGAUCAAGUGCUAGGCUAACGGAAUGGGUCAUGUCAAUCACAUCAUUCUCCUAAUGAUGUGAUCCCAUUAAUCAAAUGACAACACAUGUCUAUGGUUAGGAAACAUAACCAUCUUUGAUUAAUGAGCUAGUCAAGUAGAGGCAUACUAGUGACUUUAUGUUUGUCUAUGUAUUCACACGUGUAUCAUGUUUCCGGUUAAUACAAUUCUAGCAUGAAUAAUAAACAUUUAUCAUGAUAUGAGGAAAUAAAUAAUAACUUUAUUAUUGCCUCUAGGGCAUAUUUCCUUCAGUCUCCCACUUGCACUAGAAAUAAUCUAGAUUACAUAGUAAUGAUUCUAACACCCAUGGAGUCUUGGUGCUGAUCAUGUUUUGCUCGUGAGAGAGGCUUAGUCAAUGGGUCUGCAACAUUCAGAUCCGUAUGUAUUUCACAAAUAUUCUAUGUCCACAAUGCUCUGCACGGAGCUACUCUAGCUAAUUGCUCCCACUUUCAAUAUGUAUCCAGAUUGAGACUUAGAGUCAUCUGGAUUGGUGUAAAAGCUUGCAUCAUUGUAACUUUUUCGACGGGCUCUUUUAUUAUCUCCAUAAUCGAGAAACAUCUCCUUAGUCCUCACUAAGGAUAUUCUUGACCCAUGUCCAGUGAUCUACUUAUUAGAUCAAAAUUGUAUUCCUUUGCUAAACACAGAGCAAGGUAUACAAUAGGUCUGGUUCACAGCAUAGCAUACUUUAUAGAACCUAUGACUGAGGCAUAGUGAAUGACUUUUCAUUCUCUUUCUAUUUUCUGCAAUGGUCGUGUCUUGAGUCUUACUCAACUUCACACCUUGUAACACAGGCAAGAACUCCUUCUUUGGUUGUUCCAUUUUGAACUAUUUCAAAAAUUUAUCAAGGUAUGUACUCAUUGAAAAAUCUUAUCAAGCGUCUUGAUCUAUCUAUAUAGAUCUUGAUGCUCAAUGUGUAAGCAGCUUCACCGAGGUCUUGCUUUGAAAAACUCUUAUUCAAGUAUCCUUUCAUGCUAUCCAGAAUUUCCAUAUCAUUUCCAAUUAACAAUAUGUCAUCCACAUAUAAUAUUAGAAAUGCUACAGAGCUCCCACUCACUUUCUUGUAAAUACAGGCUUCUUCAAAAAGUAUGUAUAAAACCAUAUGCUUUGAUCAACUCAUCAAAGCAUAUAUUCCAACUCCGAGAUGCUUGCACCAGUCCAUAGAUGGAUCGCUAGAGCUUGCACAAUUUGUUAGCACCUUUAGGAUUGACAAAACCUUCUGGUUGCAUCAUAUACAACUCUUCUUUAAGAAAACCAUUAAGGAAUGCAGUUUUGUUUAUCCAUUUGCCAGAUUUCAUAAAAUGCGGCAAUUGCUAACAUGAUUCAGACAGACUUAAGCAUAGAUACGAGUGAAAAACUCUCAUCGUAGUCAACACCUUGAACUUGUCGAAAACCUUUUGCGACAAUUCUAGCUUUGUAGAUAGUAACAUUAUCAGCGUCCGUCUUCCUCCUGAAGAUCCAUUUAAUCUCAAUGUCUUGCCGAUCAUUGGGCAAGUCAAUCAAAGUCCAUACUUUGUUUUCAUACAUGGAUCUUAUCUCAGAUCUCAUGGCCUCAAGCCAUUUUGCGGAAUCUGGGCUCACCAUCGCUUCUUCAUAGUACGUAGGUUCGUCAUGGUCUAGUAACAUAACUUCCAGAACAGGAUUACCGUACCACUCUGGUGCGGAUCUUACUCUGUAAGACCUACGAGAUUCUGUAGUAACUUAAUCUGAAGUUUCCUGAUCAUCAUCAUUAACUUCCUCACUAAUUGGUGUAGUAGUCAUAGGAACAGAUUUCUGUGAUGAACUACUUUCAAAUGAGGGAGCAGGUAUAGUUACCUCAUCAAGUUCUACUUUCCUUCCACUCACUUCUUUCAAGAGAAACUCCUUCUCUAGCAAGGAUCCAUUCUCAGCAACGAAUGUUUUGCCUUCGGAUCUGUGAUAGAAGGUGUACCCAACAGUUUCUUUUGGGUAUUCUAUGAAGAUGCACUUCUCCGAUUUGGGUUCGAGCUUAUCAGGUUGAAAACCUUUUUCAUAUAAGCAUCGCAACUCCAAAUUUUAAGAAACGACAGCUUAGGUUUACUGCUAAACCAUAGUUCAUACGGUGUCGUCUCAACGGAUUUAGAUGGUGCCCUUUUUAAACGUGAAUGCAGCUGUCUCUAAUGCACAACCCCAAAACGAUAGUGGUAAAACCGAUAAGAGACAUCAUAGAUCGCACCAUAUCCAAUAAAGUGCGGUUACGACGUUCGGACACACCAUAACGUUGUGGUGUUCCAGGUGGCGUGAGCUGUGAAACUAUUCCACAUUGUUUUAAUUGAAGACCAAACUCGUAAUUCAUAUAUUCGUCUCCGCGAUCAUAUCGUAGAAACUUUAUUUUCUUGUUACGAUGAUUUUUCCACUUCACUCUGAAAUUCUUUGAAAUUUUUAUUUCAGACUUAUGUUUCAUCAAGUAGAUAUACCCAUAUCUGCUCAAAUCAUUUUGUGAAGGUCAGAAAAUAACGAUACUUGCCACGAGCAUCAACACUCAUUGGAUCGCAUACAUCGGUAUGUAUUAUUUCCAACAAGUCAGCAGCUCGUUCCAUUGUUCUGAAGAACAGAGUUUUAGUUAUCUUGCCCAUAAGGCACGGUUCACAAGCAUCAAAUGAUUCAUAACCAAGUGAUUCCAAAAAUCCAUCUUUAUGGAGUUUCUUCAUGCGCUUUACACCGAUAUGACCCAAACGGCAGUGCCACAAAUAAUUUGCACUAUCAUUAUCAAUUUUGCAUCUUUUAGCAUCAAUAUUAUGAUUAUGUGUAUUACUACGAUCGAGACCCAACAAACUAUUUUCAUUGGGUGUAUGACCAUCGAAGGCUUUAUUCAUGUAAACAGAAUAACAAUUAUUCUUUGACUUUAAAUGAAUAACCGUAUUGCAAUAAACAUGAUCAAAUCAUAUUCACGCUCAACGCAAACGCCAAAUAACAUUUAUUUAGGUUUAACACUAAUCCCGAAAGUAUAGGGAGUGAUGAUGAUCAUAUCAAUCUUGGAACCACUUCCAACACACAUCGUCACUUCACCCUCAACUAGUUUCUGUUUAUUCUGUAACCUCCGUUUCGAGUUACUAAUAUUUAGCAAUCGAACAAGUAUCAAAUACUCAGGGGCUACUAUAAACACUAGUAAAGUACAUAUCAAUAACAUGUAUAUCAAAUAUACCCUUGUUCACUUUGCCAUCCUUCUUAUCCACCAAAUAUUCAGGGCAUUUCCGCUUCUAGUGACCAUUUCCUUUGCAGUAUAAUCACUCAGUUUCAGGCUUUGGUUCAGCUUUGGACUUCUUCGUGGGAGUGACAACUUGCUUGUCAUUCUAGUUGAAGUUCCCUUUCUUUCCCUUUGCCCUUUACUUGAAACUAGUGAUCUUGUCAACCAUCAACACUUGAUGCUCUUUCUUGAUUUCUACCUUCGUCGAUUUCAACAUCACGAAGAGCUCGGGAAUCGUUUUCGUCAUCCCUUGCAUAAUGUAGUUCAUCUUGGAGUUCUAGUAACUUAGUGAUGGUGACUAGAGAAUUCUGUCAAUCACUAUCUUAUCUAGAAGAUUAACUCCCACUUGAUUCAAGCGAUUGAAGUAUCCAGACAAUCUGAGCACAUGCUCACUAGUUGAGCGAUUCUCCUCCAUCUUUUAGCUAUAGAACUUGUUGGAGACUUCAUAUCUCUCAACUCGGGUAUUUGCUUGAAAUAUUAACUUCAAUUCCUGGAACAUCUCAUAUAGUCCAUGAUGUUCAAAACAUCUUUGAAGUCCCGAUUCUAAGCCAUAAAGCAUGGUGCACAAAACUAUCAAGUAGUCAUCAUAUUGAGCUAGCCAAACGUUCAUAACGUCUGCAUCUGCUCCUGCAAUAGGUCUGUCACCUAGCGGUGCAUUAAGGACAUAAUUCUUCUGUGCAGCAAUGAGGAUAAACCUCAGAUCGUGGAUCCAAUCCGCAUCAUUGCUACUAACAUUUUUCAACACAAUUUUCUCUAGGAACAUAUCAAAAUAAACAUAUGAAAGCAACAUCGCAAGCUAUUGAUCUUACAACAUAAUUUGCAAAAUACUACCAGGACUAAGUUCAUGAUAAAUUUAAGUUCAAUUAAUCAUAUUACUUAAGAACUCCCACUUAGACAAACAUCUCUUGAGUCAUCUAAGUGAUCACGUGAUCCAAAUCAACUAAACCAUAACCGAUCAUCACGUGAGAUGGAGUAGUUUUCAAUGGUGAACAUCACUAUGUUGAUCAUAUCUACUAUAUGAUUCACGCUCGACCUUUCAGUCUCCGUGUUCCGAGGCCAUAUCUGCAUAUGCUAGGCUCGUCAAGUAUAACCUGAAUAUUCUGCGUGUGCAAAAUUGGCUUGCACCCGUUGUAGAUGGACGUAGAGCUUAUCACACCCGAUCAUCACGUGGUGUCUGGGCACGACGAACUUUGGCAACGGUGCAUAUUCAGGGAGAACACUUCUUGAUAAUUUUUAGUGAGAGAUCAUCUUAAAAUGCUACCGUCAAUCAAAGCAAGAUAAGAUGCAUAAAGGAUAAACAUCACAUGCAAUCAAUAUAAGUGAUAUGAUAUGGCCAUCAUCAUCUUGUGCUUGUGAUCUCCAUCUCCGAAGCACCGUCGUGAUCACCAUCGUCACCGGCGCGACACCUUGAUCUCCAUCGUAGCAUCAUUGUCGUUUACGCCAUCUAUUGCUUCUACGACUAUCUCUACCGCUUAGUGAUAAAGUAAAGCAAUUACAGGGCAUUUGCAUUUCAUACAAUAAAGCGACAACCAUAUGGCUCCUGCCAGUUGCCGAUAACUUCGGUUACAAAACAUGAUCAUCUCAUACAAUAAAAUAUAGCAUCACAUCUUGACCAUAUCACAUCACAACAUGCCCUGCAAAAACAAGUUAGACGUCCUCUACUUUGUUGUUGCAAAUUUUACGUGGCUGCUACGGGCUUAGCAAGAACCGUUCUUACCUACGCAUCAAAACCACAAUGAUAGUUCGUCAAGUUAGUGUUGUUUUAACCUUCGCAAGGACCGGGCGUAGCCACACUCGAUUCAGCUGAAGUGAGAGAGACAGACACCCGCCAACCACCUUUAAGCACAAGUGCUCGCAACGGUGAAACCAGUCUCGCGUAAGCGUACGUGUAAUGUCGGUCCGUGCCGCUUCAUCUCACAAUACCGCCGAACCAAAGUAUGACAUGCUGGUAAGCAGUAUGACUUGUAUCGCCCACAACUCACUUGUGUUCUACUCGUGCAUAUAACAUCAACGCCUAAAACCAGGCUCUGAUACCACUGUUGGGGAACGUAGUAACUUCAAAAAAUUUCAUACGCACACGCAAGAUCAUGGUGAUGCAUAGCAACGAGAGGGGAGAGUGUUCGUCCACGUACUCUCGUAGACCGUAAGCGGAAGCGUUAUGACGACGCGGUCGAUGUAGUCGUACGUCUUCACGAUCCGACCGAUCCAAGCACCGAACGUACGGCACCUCCAAGUUCUGCACACGUUCAGCUCGAUGACGAUCCCCGGGCUCCGAUCCAGCAAAGCUUCGGGGAUGAGUUCCGUCAGCACGACGGCGUGGUGACGAUGAUGAUGUUCUACCGGCGCAGGGCUUCGCCUAAACUCCACGACGAUAUGACCGAGGUGGAAUAUGGUGGAGGGGGGCACCGCACACGGCUAAGGAACGAUCCGUAGAUCAACUUGUGUGUCUAUGGGGUGCCCCUGCCCCCGUAUAUAAAGGAGGGAGGGGGGAGGCCGGCCGGCCCUUGUUGGGCGCGCCAGGAGGAGGAGUCCUCCUCCUAGUAGGAGUAGGACUCCUCCUUUCCUACUCCUACUAGGAGGGGAAGGAAGGGGGAGAGGAGGGGAAGGAAAGAGGGGGGCGCCGCCCCCCCUCCUAGUCCAAUUCGGACCAGAGGGAGAGGGGGCGCGCGGCCCUUCCUGGCCNNNNNNNNNNNNNNNNNNNNNNNNNNNNNNNNNNNNNNNNNNNNNNNNNNNNNNNNNNNNNNNNNNNNNNNNNNNNNNNNNNNNNNNNNNNNNNNNNNNNNNNNNNNNNNNNNNNNNNNNNNNNNNNNNNNNNNNNNNNNNNNNNNNNNNNNNNNNNNNNNNNNNNNNNNNNNNNNNNNGUAACCCUCCGGCACUCCGGUUUUCUCCGAAAUCACCCGGAACACUUCCGGUGUCCGAAUAUAGUCGUCCAAUAUAUCAAUCUUUAUGUCUCGACCAUUUCGAGACUCCUCGUCAUGUCCGUGAUCACAUCCGGGACUCCGAACAAACUUCGGUACAUCAAAACUUGUAAACUCAUAAUAAAACUGUCAUCGUAACGUUAAGCGUGCGGACCCUGCGGGUUCGAGAACUAUGUAGACAUGACCUAGAACUAUUCUCGGUCAAUAACCAAUAGCGGAACCUGGAUGCCCAUAUUGGUUCCUACAUAUUCUACGAAGAUCUUUAUCGGUCAAACCGCAUAACAACAUACGUUGUUCCCUUUGUCAUCGGUAUGUUACUUGCCCGAGAUUUGAUCGUCGGUAUCCAAUACCUAGUUCAAUCUCGUUACCGGCAAGUCUCUUUACUCAUUCUGUAACACAUCAUCUUAUAACUAACUCAUUAGUUACAAUCCUUGCAAGGCUUAGGUGAUGAGUAUUACCGAGAGGGCCUAGAGAUACCUCUCCGACAAUCGGAGUGACAAAACCUAAUCUCGAAUUAUGCCAACCCAACAUGUACCUUCAGAAACACCUGCAGAGCACCUUUAUAAUCACCCAGUUAUGUUGUGAUGUUUGGUAGCACACAAAGUGUUCUUCCGGUAAACGUGAGUUGCACAAUCUCAUAGUUGCAGGAACUUUGUAUAAGUCAUGAAGAAAGCAAUAGCAACAUACUAAACGAUCAAGUGCUAGGCUAACGGAAUGGGUCAUGUCAAUCACAUCAUUCUCCUAAUGAUGUGAUCCCAUUAAUCAAAUGACAACACAUGUCUAUGGUUAGGAAACAUAACCAUCUUUGAUUAAUGAGCUAGUCAAGUAGAGGCAUACUAGUGACUUUAUGUUUGUCUAUGUAUUCACACGUGUAUCAUGUUUCCGGUUAAUACAAUUCUAGCAUGAAUAAUAAACAUUUAUCAUGAUAUGAGGAAAUAAAUAAUAACUUUAUUAUUGCCUCUAGGGCAUAUUUCCUUCAAAUGAUUAUGUCGAGUGGAGGAGACCAGCUGGAUGAUAGCCUUGCCAUGCAAGCGCAUGAGGAAAGAGACAGGACAACUGGAUUAGCGGUGAUUGGCCUGCAUGCCUCGACCGGGGAGCCAUCCAUGCAAACUGAGAGCGCGAUACGUGCGGAGGAAGGCACUGAGGGGAUGACAGCCCAGGAAGCGGUGGCCUUCGGUAGGAUGAAAGCAUUCUGCUCCAGUAUCAUUAAGAGGCUUGCACCACCACUGAUCAAGGAGGUUCAGGCGACCAGCCUUCGUCCGGAGGCAGACCCUUUCACGCCAAAGAGGACCACGCGGGCCGCUAGGCGCAUGGCCAUGAGCACGACAAAGGCGUCCCCGGCGGAAACAGUACUGAUGAGAGCUUUGGGGAUUGCACCGGAGGAUCUGCAAGUGGACGAUGACACGGUGCAAGAGCUCAAAGGGCUGUUCGAUUCACCAUUACGGGAGCAGCAUGUGAGGGUCAUAGCGGCGAUCUUCGGCAAGAGCAUGCCGAGCAGGCAGGACAUGGUGAGGGCUCACGACACAGUGGUGUUGACCCACUGAUCGCACCCCUGGAGGUGGUGUGGUGUUGGAGUUCAUUGUUCCUCAAUGGAUUGCAACCCGGAAGUGCUUUGCUGGAACAUGCAGCGCAAAAAGAAAGGCCGUAAGGGAGUUCGUGGCGACAAUUCAGGUUAACUUGGUGUGUCUACAAGAGACCAAACUGCAUGUAAUUGAUCAAUUUGAUGUAAUGCAAUGCGUGGGGCCAUCUUUUGAUGGUUUUGCCUAUUUGCCGGCGUCGGAGACUAGAGGUGGCAUUUUACUUGCAUGGAACACCACAGUUAUAACGGUGGAUAAUGUGGUGCUCGACACACAUUGCAUAACUGGUAGGGUGAACACUAAGGAGGGCAACAACUGGUGGAUCACGGGGGUCUACGGGCCGCAAGGGGAUGACGAGAAGCUCGUGUUCCUGAACGAGCUAAGGGCAAGAAGGGUGGCGUGCCCUGGCCAAUGGGUUGCCAUGGGCGACUUCAACAUGAUCUUGCGCGCGAAUGAAAAGAAUAACACGAACCUAAACAGAACCACCAUGAACUAUUUCAGGAGCUUUGUGGAUGACAACGAGUUGAAGGAAAUUUAUAUGCACGGAAGGAAAUACACUUGGUCUAAUGAGAGGGAUAGUCCAACAAUGACUAAGAUUGAUCGAGUGCUUGUUUCGGUGGAUUGGGAGUUGACGUAUCCGGACUGCCUACUCUAGGCUCUCUCCAGGGGUGUAUCUGAUCACGCACCCCUUCAUAUCUCCACCAGUGCUAUGUGCAACCCUAAGAGAAGGUUCAGAUUUGAGAUCUUUUGGACCAAACUGGAAGGUUUUGAGCAGGCAAUUGCGGACGCCUGGAGGUGUGACCAAGGGAUCAUGGACCCUUUCAAACGACUUGAUGCCCUAUUUAGAAAUGCAGGAGCUGCUUUACAAUCCUGGGGACAGAGAAAGGUUGGGAACAUCAAACUGCUCAUGGCGGUCGCGCACUGGAUUAUCCUUCGACUCGAUCAGGCACAAGAAGGAAGGCUGCUAACUGCAGAGGAGCAUUGGUUACGACGAACUCUGAAGUUGUCCCUACUGGGGAUCGCAUCCCUAGAGAGAACUAUUCAACGCCAGCGCUCCCGGAUUAGAUGGUUGCAGGCAGGGGACGCCAAUUCCAAAUUGUUUCAGGCAGUGGCAAAUGGGCGAAGAACAAAGAACUUCAUCCCUCACGUAAAGAUCAAUGGGGAAAUCAUCACGGAUCAAGAGCGUAAGCAGGAAGCUUUCACUGAGGCUUACGAGAACUUGAUCGGGACUGCCAAGGCGAGGGACUGCACUCUGAAUCUUGAGUACCUGGGGAUGGAAACGCUAGACCUACAUGAUCUGGAGGGCAUGUUUACGGAGGAGGAAGUAUGGGAAGUUAUAAAGGACCUUCCGGCGGAUCGUGCUCCGGGGCCCGAUGGAUUCAUUGGUGCUUUCUACCAGAAGGCCUGGCCCCUGAUAAAACAUGAUAUCAUGGCCGCGAUGCAUAAGUUAUACGUUGGGGAUGGGCGAGGCUUUGGGAAGCUAAACAAGGCCCUGAUCGUACUAAUUCCCAAAAAGCCUGAUGCCGAGGAAAUAGGUGACUAUCGGCCCAUCAGCCUGCCCCACAGCUUCGCUAAAUUAUUCGCUAAGAUGCUGGCCAACAGGGCACGACGGAGGAUGAAGGAGAUAGUCUCUACAAAUCAAUCAGCCUUCAUUAUGGGGAGAAACCUGCACGACAACUUUCUUUUGGUCAGACAGGUCGCGAAGAGAAUAUAUGGCCGAAAGGAGAAAGGAGUUUUUCUUAAGCUUGACAUCACAAGAGCGUUUGACUCCCUGUCAUGGCCUUUCUUAUUUGAGAAGGAAAGGGUUUGGGGAUACCUGGCUGAGAUGGAUUGCAAUUUUAUUGCAGUCAGCUACCACCAAGGUGUUAGUGAAUGGUGUCCCGGGAAGGAGUUUCGCUCACGCUUGUGGAUUGAGGCAGGGGGAUCCCAUCUCUCCCCUGCUCUUUGUCAUUGCAAUGGAAGCCUUAACAGCAAUGUUCUCCAAGGCCAUGGAGGUAGGUACUAUGAGUUCUUUCAAUGGAGUUACGGCUACACAGAGGUUAUCAAUCUAUGCGGACGACGUGGCAUUGUUCAUCAGACCCACCAUGGCCGACCUAAACUUUGUGCGAGUUGUGCUGGACAUCUUUGGAGAAGCAUCCGGAUUGAAAGUCAAUUACAGAAAAUCCCUUGCUAUACUCAUCCGUGGAUCUGAGAUAGACCGCAACUGUGUGACUGGGAUUUUGCAGUGUCGCAUUGGAGACUUUACCUGCAAGUAUUUGGGAAUCCAACUGUCCAUAUCUCAGCCGACAAGGCCGGAUUGGCAGCCUAUGCUGGAUCGUGUGCAUCACUACGUCCCGACCUGACAGCAUGGCCUGAUCCAGCGGCCGGGGAGACUAAUCCUAGUCAAAUCAGUUGUCGCUGCUCGGCCGGUGCAUCACCUCAUGAUCCUGGACGCACCACAAUGGGUAUACGAAGACAUAAACACCUGGCUCAGGUCCUUCUUUUGGGCAGGAAAGGAAAAAUCUCAUGGGGGCCAGUGUCUGGUGGCGUGGAACCUGAUCUGUCGGCCGUACAACCUUGGGGGUCUGGGAGUCAAGAACCUAAAGUUACAGGCACUUGCUCUUCGAGUGCGAUGGGAAUGGCUCCGAAGAACGGAUGAAGGGCGCCCAUGGUAGGGACUGAAGCUCAUUAUCGAUGAGGAGGCACGUGAGGUCUUUGAUAGUCUAGUUUCCAUAUCAGUUGGGGAUGGCAAGAGGAUCUUAUUUUGGAAGGAUGGGUGGAUCAAUGGACGCACUGCGGCUGAAAUCGCGCCAACCAUCACAACUGUGGUACCUACUCGGAAGAAGAACACGCGCACUGUCCAUCAUGCACUUGGGGAAUGAGAUGGGAGCUUGAUAUCCCAGAUGGACUCACCUUUACGAUGCAAAUGCAGCUCUACAUGCUACAGCAGGCGAUAUCCCUGGUGGACAGGGAUGAGCAUCGACAAAUUUACCUGGCCGGCAGACAUCACAGGAGUGUAUACUGCAAAAUCAACCUACAAGCGACUGUGCAUGGGACAAACUUCCUUCGAGCCUGCAGCAUAUAUUUGGAAGUGUUGGGCGCCACUGAAAUGCAAAAUAUUCAUUUGGCUAGCGGUACAAUAUCAUGUCUGGACAUCGGACUGCAGAGCACGGCACGGCCUGCAGGACCAUGCUUCCGUGUGCUUCACUUGCAACGGAGAUGAAGAUAACAUGGAGCAUAUUUUGAUGCAGUGUGCAUACGCUCGUGAAACUUGGCACUUGAUCUUGGAGCACUACAGAAUGGACAUCCAAAACCCCACCCCACAGAACACUUUGGUGGAAUGGUGGACGGCAGCUAGGCAGAGCUUCCACAGGAGGGAGAGGAGAGGUUUUGACUCGCUCACUCUCAUCACCACCUGGUCCUUGUGGAAACAAAGGAACGCUCGGGUGUUUGGGAGAAUCGCUCAGCAGAGGAACCCAAUGCAGAUGACAUCAUUGAUGAAAUUAACGAGUGGAAGCAGCCUGGAGCAGGAGGGCUGCAUAGAUUAGAGAGAGAGUAGCUUGUAGGCUCUGUAGGUGUGGGUGUUGGUGGUGUCUCCUCGCCGUUGUUCGCAACGGUGGGAGCCUCUUGUAAAUUGACUUGCUUUCUUCUAUAAAAAUAUGGUACACCAUUGGCGUACCCUCGAAAAAAAACAUUCUAGACUUAUUUAGAUUUUUUUUGGCAAUGUCCGUUUAGUGAGACGAGAUGCUUCUGAAGCGUGUGUGGCGGCUUCAUCAAUCUCAAGAAUAUGGGUGAAUGUAUGUAUAUGUAUGUGAGCAUUUGUGGUUGUACUGUCUUUAAAAAAUACAUUCGUUGUUGCAGAAACAAAAUUGAUCCUUGUGUCGUUGGCUUUUUAUAAAGUGUGAAUUCUAGUGAUCAAAACAAAGCAUCAAGUAUACAGACGUACACAAUCAACGCUGAGAGCAAUCCUAACUGGCAUCAUCAUGUUUUACGUUUAGUUUUGUAUCAUGGGAUUAGUCAAAAUUUUACCACGCUCGCACACCUUUUUAUUGAUUUUAUCAGGAUCCUUAACGCGAGAUGCAAAGAAAAAGAAUCUUGUGAUACGGUGUGAAAAUCGUGUUAAUUUACGUGAUAAAAACAUCUCAUAAAGAGUACAAGGCAAGAACAGCAAAAAUCAGCCACAUGAGGGACUCCAUGGAAAAAGACGACGUCUAGUACGAGCACGCGCGCUCGUACCAGCUACCGCCCCCACCUCGUGAUCAACUAUUUUAACCCUGUGCCUUCAAAUUGAGAGAAUAAGCAAAACAGAGACUAGAAACUCCACCAGACUCAAGAACCCUAGCCUCUGGAAGGGAUCCGGAGAGUGGAAUCGAUACAAGGGUUUCAAUACACCAUCGUCUCGGUCAAGAGGACUACGUCAUCCGCCAUUUCCAUCUCUUUGUAAUGAAAAACCCUAGCGGAUCCUGUUCUUGUAUUACUUUGAUCGUUCAUCUAUAAUCAUCAUGAUUUAUCCUUUGGUGCUUAUCGUUCUCAUGUCCGAGUAGACUCCCUAGUUCUCGGGGAUAUGAAGGAAGCCUAGUAAGUUUAGUUGAUGAACCCCGAUAGGAUUUGAUAUCCUCUUUGUAUGUUCAUGUUAAUAACCUUCUCCAUGUUAAUUAGUUGAAGUCGAUCACCCAACAUUUACCUCUUUGGGAGAAAAGAUUAUUACCAUUGAUGUGAUUGUGGGUUUUCGGAGGUAUCGUGAUGACAUAAGCUACUUCCCUCCCUCCUAAACAUUGCAAUAGGGAUCAAUGGAGACUGUCUUUAGCUGCAUCCAUGGGAAACCCUUAAUCACUGUUCUGGAAACAGAAUGUGGGAGGAACCAUUGUGGUGUAUGUGAUGUGUAGUUGCUGCAUGUAUGCAUGCAUUUGUACUUGGCUCUGCCCACUUUUAGAAUGAUACUAUUGUUGGGGAACGUAGUAAUUUCAAAAAAAAAUCCUACGCACAUGCAAGAUCAUGGUGAUGCAUAGCAACGAGAGGGGAGAGUGUUGUCCACGUACCCUCGUAGACCGUAAGCGGAAGCGUUUAUGACAACGCGGUUGAUGUAGUCGUAUGUCUUCACGAUCGACCGAUCCUAGUACCGAACGUACGGCACCUCCAUGAUCUGGAAACGUUCGGCUCGGCGAUGUACCACGAACUCACGAUCCAGCAGAGUGUCUAGGGAGAGCUUCGUCAACACGACAGCGUGAUGACGGUGAUGAUGAAGCUACCGGCGCAGGGCUUCGCCUAAGCACUACGACGAUAUGACCGAGGUGGAUUAUGGUGGAGGGGGCACCGCACACAGCUGGAAACAAUCAACUUGUGUGUUCUAGGGUGCCCCCUGCCCUCGUAUAUAAAGGAGCAAGGCGGAGGCCGGCCGGCCUUGGGGCGCACCAAGGAGAGGGAGGAGUCCUCCUCCUAGUAGGAGUAGGACUCCCCUUUCCUAGUCCAACUAGGAAGGAGGAAGGGGAAAGGAAGGAGAGGGAGAGAGGAAGGAAAGAGGGGGAGCCGCCCCCCUCCUUGUCCAAUUCAGACUCCCAAGGGGGGGGGGGGUGGCCAGCCCUAGGCCCUCUCCUCUCUCUCCCAUAAGGCCCAUGAUGGCCCAUUAGUUCCCCCGGGGGUUCCGAUAACCCACCGGCACUCCGAUAAUUAUUCGGUGACCCCCGAAACACUUCCGGUGUCCGAAUAUAGUCGUCCAAUAUAUCAAUCUUUAUGUCUUGACCAUUUCGAGACUCCUCGUCAUGUCCAUGAUCACAUCCGGGACUCUGAACUAUCUUCGGUACAUCAAAACACAUAAACUCAUAAUACGGAUCAUCACCGAACGUUAAGCGUGCGGACCCUACGGGUUCGAGAACUAUGUAGACAUGACUGAGACACGUCUCCGGUCAAUAACUAAUAGUGGAACCUGGAUGCUCAUAUUGGUUCCUACAUAUUCUUUGAAGAUCUUUAUCGGUCAAACCGCAUAACAACAUACAUUGUUCCCUUUGUCAUCGGUAUGUUACUUGCCCGAGAUUCGAUCGUCUUAUCUCAAUACCUAGUUCAAUCUCGUUACCGGCAAGUCUCUUUACUCGUUCCAUAAUGCAUCAUCCCGCAACUAACUCAUAGUCACAUUGCUUGCAAGGCUUAUAGUGAUGUGCAUUAUCGAGAGGGCCCAAAGAUACCUCUCCGACAAUCGGAGUGACAAAUCCUAAUCUCGAUCUAUGCCAACUCAACAAGUACUAUCAGAGACACCUGUAGAGCACCUUUAUAAUAACCCAGUUACGUUGUGACGUUUGGUAGCACACAAAGUGUUCCUCCGGUAUCCGGGAGUUGCAUAAUCUCAUAGUCAUAGGAACAUGUAUAAGUCAUGAAGAAAGCAAUAGCAAUAUACUAAACGAUCAAGUGCUAAGCUAACGGAAUGGGUCAAGUCAAUCACAUCAUUCUCUAAUGAUGCGAUACCGUUAAUCAAAUGACAACUCAUGUCUAUGGCUAGGAAACUUAACCAUCUUUGAUUCAACGAGCUAGUCAAGUAGAGGCAUACUAGUGACACUCUAUUUGCAUAUGUAUCCACACAUGUAGUAAGUUUCCGGUUAAUACAAUUCUAGCAUGAAUAAUAAACAUUUAUCAUGAAAUAAGGAAAUAAAUAAUAACUUUUUUAUUGCCUCUAGGGCAUAUUUCCUUCAGUCUCUCACUUGCACUAGAGUCAAUAAUCUAGUUCACAUCGCCAUGUGAUUUAACACCAAUAGUUCACAUCACCAUGUGAUUAACACCCAUAGUUCACAUUGCCAUGUGACCAACACUCAAAGGGUUUACUAGAUUCAGUAAUCUUAGUUCACAUCGCCAUGUGAUUAACACCCAAAGAGUACUAAGGUGUGAUCAUUGUUUGCUUGUGAGAGAAGUUUAGUCAACGGGUCUGCCAUAUUCAGAUCCGUAUGUAUUUUGCAAAUUUCUAUGUCAACAUGCUUUGCACGGAGCUACUCUAGCUAAUUUCUCCCACUUUCAAUAUGUAUCCAGAUUGAGACUUAGAGUCAUCUGGAUCAGUGUCAAAACUUGCAUCGACGUAAACCUUUACGACGAACCUUUUGUCACCUCCAUAAUCGAGAAACUUAUCCUUAUUCCACUAAUGAUAAUUUUGACCGCUAUCUAGUGAUCUACUCCUAGAUCACUACUGUACUCCCUUGCCAAACUCAGUGUAGGGUAUACAAUAGAUUUGGUACACAGCAUGGCAUACUUUACAGAACCUAGGGCUGAGGCAUAGGGAAUGACUUUUAUUCUCUUUCUAUCUUCUGCCAUAGUCGGGCUUUGAGUCUUACUCAAUUUCACACCUUGCAAUACAGGCAAGAACUCCUUCUUUGACUGUUCCAUUUUGAACUUCUUCAAAAAUUUGUCAAUGUAUGUACUCAUUGAAAAAACUUAUCAAGAGUCUUGAUCUAUCUCUAUAGAUCUUGAUGCUCGAUAUGUAAGCAGCUUCAUCGAGGUCUUUCUUUGAAAAACUCCUUUCAAACUAUCCUUUUAUGCUUUCCAGAAAAUUCUACAUCAUUUCCGAUCAACAAUAUGUCAUUCACAUAUACUUAUCAGAAAGGUUGUAGUUCUCCCACUCACUUUCUUGUAAAUACAGGCUUCAUCGCAAGUCUGUAUAAAACUCAUCAAAGCGUAUAUUCCAACUCUGAGAUGCUUUGCACCAGUCCAUGGGUGGAUCGCUGGAGCUUGCACAUUUUGUUAGCACCUUUAGGAUCAACAAAACCUUCUGGUUGCAUCAUAUACAACUCUUCUUUAAGAAAUCCAUUAAGGAAUGUAGUUUUGACAUCCAUUUUCCAGAUUUCAUAAAAUGUGGCAAUUUGCUAACAUGAUUCGGAUAGACUUAAGCAUCGCUACGAGUGAGAAAAUCUCAUCGUAGUCAACACCUUGAACUUUGUCAAAAACCUUUUUCGACAAGUCUAGCUUUGUAGAUAGUAACACUACUAUCAGCAUCCGUCUUCCUCUUGAAGAUCCAUUUAUUUUCUAUGGCUUGCCAAUCAUCGGGCAAGUCAACCAAAGUCUACACUUUGUUCUCAUACAUGGAUCCCAUCUCAGAUUUCAUGGCCUCAAGACAUUUCGCGGAAUCUAGGCUCAUCAUCGCUUCCUCAUAGUUCGUAGGUUCAUCAUGGUCAAGUAACAUGACCUCCAGAACAGGAUUACCAUACCACUCUGGUGCGGACCUUACUUUGGUUGACCUAUGAGGUUCGGUAGUAACUUGACCUAAAGUUACAUGAUCAUCAUCAUUAGCUUCCUUAUUAAUUGGUGUAGGAGUCACAGAAAGAGAUUUCUGUGAUGAACUACUUUCCAAUAAGGGAGCAGGUACAUUUACCUCAUCAAGUUCUACUUUCCUCCCACUCACUUCUUUAGAGAGAAACUCCUUCUCUAGAAAGGAUCCAUUCUUAGCAACGAAUGUCUUGCCUUCAGAUCUGUGAUAGAAGGUGUACCCAACUGUCUCCUUUGGGUAUCCUAUGAAGACACAUUUCUCCGAUUUGGGUUUGAGCUUAUCAGGAGAAACCUUUUCUCAUAAGCAUCGCAACCCCAAACUUUAAGAAACGACAACUUUGGUUUCUUGCCAAACCACAGUUCAUAUGGUGUUGUCUCAACGGAUUUAGAUGGUGCCCUAUUUAACGUGAAUACAACUGUCUCUAAUUCAUAACCCCAAAACGAUAGUGGUAAAUUGGUAAGAGAGAUCAUAGAUUGCACCAUAUCUAAUAAAGUACGGUUACGAUGUUCGGACACACCAUUACACUAUGGUGUUCCAGGUGGCGUGAGUUGCGAAACUAUUCCGAAUUGUUUCAAAUGAAGACCAAACUCAUAACUCAAAUAUUCUCCUCCACGAUCAGAUCGUAGAAACUUUAUUUUCUUGUUACGAUGAUUUUCCACUUCACUCUGAAAUUAUUUGAACUUUUCAAAUGUUUUAGAUUUAUGUUUCAUCAAGUAGAUAUACCCAUAUCUGCUCAAAUCAUCUAUGAAGGUCAGAAAAUAACGAUACCUGCCGCGAGCCUCAACACUCAUCGGACUGCAUACAUUAGUAUGUAUUAUUUCCAAUAAGUCUGUUGCUCGCUCCAUUGUUCUGGAGAACGAAGUCUUAGUCAUCUUGCCCAUGAGGCAUGGUUCGCAAGCAUCAACUGAUUCAUAAUCAAGUGAUUCCAAAAGCCCAUCAACAUGGAUUUUCUUCAUGCGCUUUACACCAAUAUGACCUAAACGGGAGUGCCACAAAUAAGUUGCACUAUCAUUAUUAACUUUGCAUCUUUUGGCUUCAAUAUUAUGAAUAUGUGUAUCACUACGAUCGAGAUUCAAUAAACCAUUCACCUUGGGUGUAUGACCAUUGAAGGUUUUAUUCAUGUAAACAGAACAACAAUUAUUCUCUGACUUUAAAUGAAUAACCGUAUUGCAAUAAACAUGAUCAAAUCAUAUUCAUGCUUAACGCAAACACCAAAUAACAUUUAUUUAGAUUCAACACUAAUCCCGAAAGUAUAGGGAGUGUGCGAUGAUGAUCAUAUCAAUCUUGGAACCACUUCCAACACACAUCGUCACUUCACCCUUAACUAGCCUCUGUUCAUUCUGCAACUCUCGUUUCGAGUUACUAAUCUUAGCAACUGAACUAGUAUCAAAUACCGAGGGGUUGCUAUAAACACUAGUAAAGUACACAUCAAUAACAUGUAUAUCAAAUAUACCUUUGUUCACUUUGCCAUCCUUCUUAUCCGCCAAAUACUUGGGGCAGUUCUGCUUCCAGUGACCAGUCCCUUUGCAAUAGAAGCACUUAGUCUCAGGCUUAGGUCUAGACUUGGGCUUCUUCACUUGAGCAGCAACUUGCUUGCCGUUCUUCUUGAAGUUCCCCUUCUUCCCUUUGCCCUUUUCUUGAAACUAGUGGUCUUGUCAACCAUCAACACUUGAUGCUUUUCUUGAUUUCUACCUUCAUCGAUUUCAGCAUCACGAAGAGCUUGGGAAUUGUUUCCGUUAUUCCUUGCAUAUUAUAGUUCAUCACGAAGUUCUCGUAACUUGGUGAUAGUGACUAGAGAACUCCUGGAAGAUUAACUCCCACUUGAUUCAAGUGAUUGUAGUACUCAGACAUUCUGAGCACAUGCUUACUAGCUGAGCAAUUCUCCUCCAUCUUGUAGGCAAAGUGCUUGUCAAAGGUCUCAUACCUUUCGACAUGGGCAUGAGUCUGAAAUACUAAUUUCAACUCUUGGAACAUCGCAUAUGCUCCAUGGCGUUCAAAACGUCUUUGAAGCCUCGAUUCUAAGCUGUAAAGCAUGGUGCACUAAACUAUCAAGUAGUCAUCAUAUGAGCUUGCCAAACGUUCAUAACGUUUGCAUCUGCUCCUGCAAUCGGUCUGUCACCUAGCGGUGCAUCAAGGUCAUAAUUCUUCUGUGCAGCAAUGAGGAUAAUCCUCAGAUCACAGAUCCAAUCCGCAUCAUUGGUACUAACAUCUUUCAACUUAGUUUUCUCUAGGAACAUAUCAAAAAUAAAACACGGGAGCUAAAUGCGAGCUAUUGAUCUACAACAUAGAUAUGCUAAUACUACCAGGACUAAGUUCAUGAUAAAUUUAAAGUUCAAUUGAUCAUAUUACUUAAGAACUCCCACUUAGAUAGACAUCCCUCUAGUCAUCUAGAUGAUCACGUGAUCCAAAUCAACUAAACCAUGUCCGAUCAUCACGUGAGAUGGAGUAGUUUUCAAUGGUGAACAUCACUAUGUUGAUCAUAUCUACUAUAUGAUUCACGCUCGACCUUUCGGUCUCCAGUGUUCCGAGGCCAUAUCUGCAUAUGCUAGGCUCGUCAAGUUUAACCCGAGUAUUCUGCGUGUGCAAAACUGGCUUGCACCCGUUGUAUGUGAACGUAGAGCUUAUCACACCCGAUCAUCACGUGGUGUCUCGGCACGACGAACUUUCACAAUGGUGCAUACUCAGGGAGAACACUUAUACCUUGAAAAUUUAGUGAGAGAUCAUCUUAUAAUGAUACCGUCGAACUAAGCAAAAUAAGAUGCAUAAAGGAUAAACAUCACAUGCAAUCAAUAUAAGUGAUAUGAUAUGGCCAUCAUCAUCUUGUGCCUUUGAUCUCCAUCUCCAAAGCACCAUCAUGAUCACCAUCGUCACCGGCGCGACACCUUGAUCUCCAUCGUAGUAUCGUUGUCGUCUCGCCAACUAUUGCUUCUACAACUAUUGCUACCGCUUAGUGAUAAAGUAAAGCAAUUACAUGGCGAUUGCAUUUCAUACAAUAAAGCGACAACCAUAUGGCUCCUGCCAGUUGCCGAUAACUCUGUUACAAAACAUGAUCAUCUCAUACAAUAAAAUUUAACAUCAUGUCUUGACCAUAUCACAUCACAACAUGCCCUGCAAAACAAGUUAGACGUCCUCUAUUUUGUUGUUGCAAGUUUUACGUGGCUGCUACGGGCUGAGCAAGAACCGUUCUUACCUACGCAUCAAAACCACAAUGAUAUUUCGUCAAGUAUGUGCUAUUUAACCUUCAACAAGGACCAGGCGUAGCCACACUCGAUUCAACUAAAGUUGGAGAAACUGACACCCGCGAGCCACCUAUGUGCGAAGCGCGUCGGUAGAACCAGUCUCGCGUAAGCGUACGUGUAAUGUCGCUCUGGGCCGCUUCAUCCAACAAUACUGCUGAAUCAAAGUAUGACAUGCUAGUAAGCAGUAUGACUAGUAUCGCCCACAACUCACUUGUGUUCUACUCGUACAUAUAACAUCUACGCAUAAACCUGGCUCGGAUGCCACUGUUGGGGAAUGUAGUAAUUUCAAAAAAAUUCCUACUCACACGCAAGAUCAUGGUGAUGCAUAGCAACGAGAGGGGAGAGUGUUUUCCACGUACCCUCGUAGACCGUAAGCGGAAGCGUUAUGAAAACACGGUUGAUGUAGUCGUACGUCUUCACGAUCGACCGAUCCUAGUACCGAACGUACGGCACCUCCGCGAUCUGCACACGUUCGGCUCGGUGACGUCCCACGAACUCAUGAUCCAGUAGAGUGUCGAGGGAGAGCUUCGUCAGCACGAUGGCAUGAUGACGGUGAUGAUAAAGCUACCAGCGCAGGGCUUCACCUAAGCACUACGACGAUAUGGCCGAGGUGGAUUAUGGUGGAGGGGGCACCGCACACGGCUAGAAACAAUCAACUCGUGUGUUCUAGGGUACCCCCUGCCCCCGUAUAUAAAGGAGCAAGGGGGAAGGCCGGCCGGCCUUGGGGCGCGCCAAGGAGAGGGGGGAGUCCUCCUCCUAGUAGGAGUAGGACUCCCCUUUCCUAGUCCAACUAGGAAGGAGGAAGGGGAACGGAAGGAGAGGGAGAGAGGGAGGAAAGAAGGGGCGCCACCCCCCCUUCUUGUCCAAUUCAGACUCCCAAGGGGGGGGCGCGGCGCGGCCAGCCCUAGGCCCUCUCCUCUCUCUCCCAUAAGUCCCAUGAUGGCCCAUUAGUUCCCCCGGGGGUUCCGAUAACCCCCCGGCACUCUGAUAAUUAUCCGGUGACCCCCGGAACACUUCUGGUGUUCAAAUAUAGUCGUCCAAUAUAUCAAUCUUCACGUCUCAACCAUUUCGAGACUCCUCGUCAUGUCCGUGAUCACAUACGUGACUCCGAACUAUCUUCAGUACAUCAAACACACAUAAACUCAUAAUACCGGUUGUCAUCGAACAUUAAGCGUGCGGACCCUACGGGUUCGAGAACUAUGUAGACAUGACGGAGACGCGUCUCCGGUCAAUAACCAAUAGUGGAACCUGGAUGCUCAUAUUGGUUCCUACAUAUUCUACGAAGGUCUUUAUCAGUCAAACCGCAUAACAACAUACCUUGUUCCCUUUAUCAUCGGUAUGUUACUUGCCCGAGAUUCGAUCGUCUUAUCUCAAUACCUAGUUCAAUCUCGUUACCGGCAAGUCUCUUUACUCGUUCCGUAAUGCAUCAUCCCGCAACUAACUCAUAGUCACAUUGCUUGCAAGGCUUAUAGUGAUGUGCAUUAUCGAGAGGGCCCAAAGAUACCUCUCCGACAAUCGGAGUGACAAAUCCUAAUCUCGAUCUAUGCCAACUCAACAAGUACUAUCAGAGACACCUGUAGAGCACCUUUAUAAUAACCCAGUUACGUUGUGACGUUUGGUAGCACACAAAGUGUUCCUCCGGUAUCCGGGAGUUGCAUAAUCUCAUAGUCAUAGGAACAUGUAUAAGUCAUGAAGAAAGCAAUAGCAAUAUACUAAAUGAUCAAGUACUAAGCUAACGGAAUGGGUCAAGUCAGUCACAUCAUUCUCUAAUGAUGCGAUACCGUUAAUCAAAUGACAACUCAUGUCUAUGGCUAGGAAACAUAACCAUCUUUGAUUCAACGAGCUAGUCAAGUAGAGGCAUACUAGUGACACUCUGUUUGUCUAUGUAUCCACACCUGUACUAAGUUUCCGGUUAAUACAAUUCUAGCAUGAAUAAUAAAACAUUUAUCAUGAAAUAAGGAAAUAAAUAAUAACUUUGUUAUUGCCUCUAGGGCAUAUUUCCUUCAACUAUCUCUCCAACGAAUCGAUGAUUUUUGCAUGAUUCGUGCUAUAUUGCUAUCAACUUUAAACAAUUUUGAAAUGAAUUUUAUGAAUUUAUUGCACUAACAUAUUAAUUCAAUGCCCAGUGCUAGCUCAUAUGUUUUGCUAUUGUGUUUCAAAAAUACUCAAAAAAAGUCCCUGAAAAAAAUCCAAAAAAUGUGAUUCAGAAGUUUCGAGAACAGGAGGACACCUAGAGACUGGGGCCCACACCAGAGGCUACCCCAGUGCCUAGGUGCAUAUGGCCUGUGGGGGGCUGGCUGGCCUUCGGUGCCCCAUGGUCCAUAUAUACCCCCAUUUGCACACCCUAAUGGUCGAGAAAUUUUCCAUCACCGCCACAUUGCGUUUUUGAGGUGAUCUUCAUUUUCAACCGUGAUCUGGACCUCUAUCGGAGGGGGGAAUUCAUCUCCAUCUUCAUCAAACUCGAUCAUCGUGCUCCAAGAUGAGUUGCGAGUAGUACAUCCCCGGAUAUCAGUAGCCAAUGUUGUAAUCUCUCCUCCUAGAUGUAUUUUCCAUGUUUAAUACAAUAACUACAUAAGCUACCCUACAUGAUUGUAGUUUACCAAAUGAGUUUAUGGUGGUGAUGUAGAUUAUGAGUAAUGGAUUAAUUAUAUAUGUUCAAAAAAUUUCAUGAUUCAUAUUUGAUAUAUGGAUGCAUAUUUCCUUCUGGAUGCAUGUAUUCUCUUGGCCAACUUAGAUUGCUAGCAUUGUGGAAGUGGUGCACAUUAGUUUGGUUCAAGAGUUACAAGUAAUCUACAAUAGUGACAAAAAAAUGAAAAAGUCUUGCAAGAAUUGUUGCCACUGAGGGUUGAGGAUUAGUAGAGGAUGAAUAAUUCCCUAAUCAUAACAGUAUGUCAUCAUUCUAAAUACAAUUACCCAUGUUUACACUUAAUGUCUAGAUGUUGCAAAGUAUCUCCAUAUGGGAUAUUUACCUAAAGAUGGAGAUUGAUUCGAUCUUUAGUAUUAUGGACGUACCUCAGUGGCAGUCUCCCCUUUGUCGUUUCCCUCGCUCCUGGCACUGCAGAUGGAGCCACUCAAUAUUCCAUGGAUUUGGUUUUCCGUGCUGGAAGAGUUACACCCCCUGUAGGUGAAGUUGUGGAGGGAGCGAGCGAUGGAGAUGAAGCCAUUCAAUACACCACCAAUAUAGUCAGUCACAACGGAGGAUACAGAUGGUUUGUAGUUGAAGCUGUGGAGGAAACGGACGAGACGGAUCUGCAAUGACGUGUUCACCUAGAUGGAGUUGAUGCAGGAGCUGCAUGAGACACGUGCACUCGCCCGCGAUAAACCGAAAUCUAAGAGACCGGCUGCAGAGGGAGAUCAGUGAUGACCCACAAGUAUAAGAGAUCACAACAAUCUUCAAGGAUAGUAUUUCACCCAAAUUUAUUGAUUCGGCACAAGGGGAGCCAAAGAAUAUUUAUAAGCCUUAGCAGUUGAGUUGUCAUAAUUCUAUGUUUCAUGCUAUGGUUAGAUUUUUCUUAAUUUUCCUUCCGUAGUUGAGGAUGCUCGCGAGAGGGGGUAAUCAUAAGUGGGUUGCUUGUUCAAGUAAGAACAACACCCAAGCACUGAUCCACCCACAUAUCAAUUAUCAAAGUAGCGAGCGUGAAUCAACUAAACAUGAUGAACGUGACUAGAUGACAAUUCCCAUGUGUCCUCAAGAACGUUUUCUUUAUAUAAGAAAACAUUCCCGCUUGUCCUUUGAUAUAAAAAGGAUUGGACCACCUUGCUGCACCUUCGUUAACAUUGUUACUUGUUACUUGUUACGAAUUGUCUUGCUACAAAACUAUCUAUCACUGCUUCUUUUAGUACUUGCGAAAAUACCUUGCUGAAAAUCACUUAUCAUUUCCUUCUGCUCCUCGAAAGGACUACAGUUGAUCCCCUAUACUUGUGGGUCAUCAGUAUGGCACACCGCCGCCACUCGAUCAACUAUUUUUACCCCCGUCGAAUCUGAUCAUGGAUCAGACGCUCACAGACACCAGAAACUCAUCCAGAAGACAGAAUCCUAGCCUCUGGAGUUCAUCUAGAGGAGGCAUUAGCAAGGAGAAGGAGUGGAUCCUUCCCACCGCGAGGAAGAGGACAACAUCAUCACCACUAUCCUCGUCAUCCACUUUAUCAUCAUCAUCAUCCACAUCCUUAUGACCUGCAACAUCAAGAACCCUAGUGGAUCCUUCGGUGUAUCAUUUUAACCACUCAUCCAUGUAUUCCAUUACCAUUGCUAGAUGUUUGUUGUCCUCAUGUGUGAGUAGACCACAAGUUCUCGGGGAUAUGGAUGAACCUUGGUAUAUGUAGGAUAUGAAACGUUAUUGUGGAUAUGAGAUCCCUUGCUGAAUGCUUAGUUUAAUACCUUCAUGAAUGUUGUGAAGGGGCCCCACUUAGCAUUUGUGUCUUGUGGCUGUAAUAUCCCAAAUUUUCUAAAUUUGUAAUGUUAAAAGAAUCAUAUGCAUAUCAUAUAUUUUCUUUGCAUUUUGAGCUUUAUUUGACUUGAUUCAAAACUUUGUGAAACUCAAUGAUUCUUUGAGAGAAGAAAACAUGACUUCUCCGAUGUGUAAAAAGAGAGAGCUGGGAGUUUAUUUGAAUCAAAUUUGAAAGUUGGAUCAAAGUUGGAAUUUAAAUUCUUUUCUCCAUCUACUCAAAUAUAAUCAAGAGAGAAGAUAAAAGGACUUCUUCAAAAUAAGCGAGUUGGAGAAAGAUUUUAAAUACUAACGGUAAUUUUGUUAAUUUUGUUGUAUAGAUUGGAAAGUAAAGAUUGCAAAAUAAACGGCGACAGAAAUAGCUAGUUGAUGGGAGAUUAAUAUGAUGGAAAAUAGACCCGGGGGCCAUAGGUUUCACUAGUGGCUUCUCUCAAGAUAGCAAAUUCUACGGUGGGUGAACAAAUUACUUCAAGCAAUUGAUAGAAAAGCGCAUAGUUAUGAGAAUAUCUAGGCAUGAUCAUGUAUAUAGGCAUCACGUCCGUGACAAGUAGACCGAAACAAUUCUGCAUCUACUACUAUUACUCCACACAUCGACCGCUAUCCAGCAUGCAUCUAGAGUAUUAAGUUCAUAAGAACAGAGUAACGCAUUAGGUAAGAUGACAUGCUGUAGAGCGAUAAACUCAAGCAAUAUGGUAUAAAACCCAUCUUUUUAUCCUCGAUGGCAACAAUACAAUACGUGCCUUGCUUCCCCUGUUGUCACUGGGAAAGGACACCACAAGAUUGAACCCAAAGCUAAGCACUUCUCCCAUUGCAAGAAAGAUCAAUCUAGUAGGCCAAACCAAACUGAUAAUUCGAAGAGACUUGCAAAGAUAUUAAAUCAUGCAUAUAAGAAUUCAAAGAAGAAUCAAAUAUUGUUGAUAGAUAAUCUUGAUCAUAAACCCACAAUUCAUCAGAUCUCGACAAACACACCGCAAAAAGAAUUACAUCAAAUAGAUCUCCAAGAAGAUCGAGGAGAACUUUGUAUUGAGAUCCAAAGAGAGAGAAGAAGCCAUCUAGCUAAUAACUAUGGACCCGAAGGUCUGUGGUAAACUACUCACACAUCAUCGGAGAGGCUAUAUAUGGUGUUGAUGUAGAAGCCCUCCGUGAUUGAUUCCCCCUCUGCGGAGCGCCGGAAAAGGCUCCAAGAUGGGAUCUCAUGGGUACAGAAGGUUGUGGUGGUGGAAAUAGGGUUUCUGGUGCUCUCGGAUGUUUUCAGGGUAUAUGAGUAUAUAUAGGCAAAAGAAGUAGGUUGGUGGAGCCACGAGGGGCCCAUGAGGGUGGGGGGCGCGCCUACCCCCUGGGCGUGCCUCCCUACCUCGUGGCCUCCUCGUUGCUUCCUUGACGUCCACUCCAAGUCUCCUGGAUUGCGUUUGUUCCAAAAAUGAUCCUCGCGAAGGUUUCAUUCCGUUUGGAUUCCGUUUGAUAUUCCUUUUCUCCGAAACACUGAAAUAGGCAAAAAAACAGCAAUUUGCACUGGGCCUUAAGUUAAUAGGUUAGUCCCAAAAAUAAUAUAAAAGUGCAUAAUAAAGCCCAUUAAACAUCCAAAACAGAUAAUAUAAUAGCAUGGAACAAUAAAAAAUUAUAGAUACGUUGGAGACGUAUCACCCCGGUAUCGUAUCAUCCCACUAUCCUUUUGCUUUUACUUAUCUUAGUUCGAUCUUUUGCUUAGAUAAAUAAAGUUUAGUUCGAUCCUUUCUUCUUUGAGAGUUUGCUUAGUGAUCUAUCAUUGUAAUCGUGUGCAAGUUAUAUAAUAAAGUUAGUUUGUGUUUUCACUUUCUUUACUUUUAUGUUGCAAAUAAAGCAAAGAAAUAAAAAUAGAAAAAGAGAAAGAAAGCAAAUAAGAGAAGGAAAUAAGUCAACAAGAUCAUAUACUAAUCCUAUGGUAGGUGAUAGCACCACAUAAGGAAAAGUAUAAGUAAGAAAAUUUUAUUAGAGUUUGACAAACAAAGCUUUAGUCAGUGAUGCAACUCAAGAAAGAAUUAAUAAGGGAAGGGAAGAUUCACAUAUAAAUAUACUAUCCUAGAAAUCUUUUGUGAUUGUGAGCCCUCAUCGAAAUAUUAUAUGCCAAAAUUGUUGACGUUGGACAAGGAAGACAACAUAAUGGUUUAUAUAUGUUUAUAUUCACAAAGAAGUCAUAUUGUCAUAGAUCCUUUAACAUGUGAUGCUUGCCCCCUAUCUUUGCUUGCCAAAAUUCUACACUAAGUAGAGAUACUACUUGUGCAUCCAAAACCUUUAAACCCAAAUCUUUUUCAAGUGUCCACCAUACCUACCUAGGGAUUGAGCAAGAUCCCUCAAGUAAGUUGUCAUCGGUGCAAAAAGGCAAUAAAAUUGCUUCUAAAUGUGUGAGAUUGUUUAGUGCAAGAGAAAAUUGAGCGUUGCACGAACUUGGAUGACAGAGAAUAAAAGCGACAGACUACAUAAUAAAGAUUGUCAUCUUAAGGGGCAAUGUAACGUGACGUUCUUUUGCAUUAAGGGAUUGAGCAUACAAACAAAUAAACGCAUGGCAACCUCUGCUUCCCUCUACGAAGGGCCUAUCUUUUACUUUUAUGUAUUUACUUUUAUGCAAAGAGUUAAAGUUUUCCUUCUAUUCCUUUUAUUUUUCUCUUUUGGCAAGCAUCUUGUGGUGAGGAAAGAUCUAGGCACAUAUGUCCAGUUGAAUAUAGAUAGCAUGAGUUAUUAUUGUUGACAUCACCCUUGAGGUGAGUAUGUUGGGAGGCGAAACUAUAAGCCCCUAUCUUUCUAUGUGUCCGGUUGAAACGUUUUUCUCAUGUGUAUGCGGUGAGUGUUAGCAAUCAUAGAAGACUAUAUGAUAGUUGAGUAUGUGGACUUGCCUAAAGGCUCUGACACGUGACCCUUCCUGAAAAGAUGAUGAAUUUUAGUUGCAAGGUUGACUGAGGACAUAGUUUAUUGGUUUCUAAUGGAGUUUUUGCUUUAUACUUCGAUUAUGUGAUGAACUGUUACUUAUUCAUGGGAAGUGUAUGAUAAAAGUUCUAUGAUGAAAGGUUUAUGUUUAAAUUUGUUGAUGUUAUAAUAAUCGGCAUGAUGCUUCUAUGUUUGUAUUUUGUUUUUUUCGACACCUCUCUCUCAAAGCAUGUGGACCCACUUUUCGAUUUCGGUUUUCGCUUGAGGACAAGCGAGGUCCAAGCUUGGGGGAGUUGAUACGUCCAUUUUGCAUCAUGUUUUCUUACUGUUAUUUACAAUGUUUUUAUCCAAAAUAAUACUUUUUGGAGUAAUUCUAAAGCCUUUUCUCUCUUAAUUUGCAAGGUGCACACCAAGAGGGAGAAUUCCGACAGCUGGAAAUCUGGACCUGAAAAAGCUACGUUAGGCCACCUAUUCUGCACAACUCCAAACAAGCUAAAACUUUACGGAGAAUUUUUUUGGAUUAUUUAAGAAAUAUUGGAGCCAGUAACUACUAGAGGGGGGCCACCAGGUGGGCACAACCCACCUGGGCGCGCCAGGCCCCCCAGGUAUGCCCUGGUGGGUUGUGGCCUCCUCGGCCCACCUCUGGAGCCCAUCUUCUGGUAUAUAAGUCAUUUUUACCUAGAAAAACUAAGGAGAGGACUUUUGGGGCGGAGUGCUGCUGUCUCGAGGCGGAACUUGGGCAGGAGCACUUUUGCCCUCCGGCGGAGCGAUGCUGCCGGGGGAACUUCCCUCCUGGAGGGGGAAAUCAUCGUCAUCAUCAUCACCAAUAACUCUCCCACCUUGGGGAGGGCAAUCUCCAUCAACAUCUUCACCAGCACCAUCUCACCUCAAACCCUAGUUCAUCUCUUGUAUUCAAUCUUGUUACCGGAACUAUAGAUUGGUGCUAGGGGGUGACUAGUAGUGUUGAUUACAUCUUGUAGUUGAGUACUAUAUGGUUUAUUUGGUGGGAGAUUAUAUGUUCAGAUCCAUGAUGCUAUUUAAUACUCCUCUGAUCAUGAACAUGUUUACUAUUUGUGAGUAGUUACUUUUGUUCUUGAGGUCACGGGAGAAAUCAUGUCGCAAGUAAUCAUGUGAACUUGAUAUGUGUUCGAUAUUUUGAUAGUAUGUAUGUUGUGAUUCCCUUAGUGGUGUCAUGUGAACGUCGACUACAUGACACUUCACCAUAUUUGGGCCUAAGGGAAUGGACUGUGGAGUAGUAAAUAUAUGGUGGGUUGCGAGAGUGACAGAAACUUAAACCCCAGUUUAUGCGCUAUUCCGUGGGACCGAUUGGAUCCUAGAGUUUAAUGCUAUAGUUAGAAUUUAUUCUUAAUACUUUUCUCGUAGUUGCAGAUGCUUGCGGGAGGGUUAAUUAUAAGUAGGAGGUUUUUUCAAGUAAGAACAUCACCUAAGCACCGGUCCACCCACAUAUCAAAUUAUCAAAGUAGCGAACACGAAUUAAACCAGCAUGAUGAAAGUGACUAGAUGAAAUUCCCAUGUACCCUCAAGAACACUUUGCUUAUUAUAAGAGACCAUUUUGGCCUGUACUUUGUCUCAAAAGGAUUGGGCUACCUUCCUGCAUACUUAUUGUUACUAUCGUUACUUGCUCGUUACGAAUUAUUUUGCUAUCAAACUACUCGUUACUUAUAGUUUCAGCACUUGCAGACAUUACCUUACUGAAAACUACUUGUCAUUUCCUUCUGCUCCUCGUUGGGUUCGACACUCUUAUUUAUCGAAAAGAGCUACAAUUGAUCCCCCGUACUUGUGGGUUAUCAAGGCUAUUUUCUGGCGCCGUUGCCGGGGAGUGAAGCACCUUUGGUAAGUGGAAUUCGGUAAGGAAACAUUUAUAUAGUGUGCUGAAAUUUAUUGUCACUUGCUACUAUGGAAAACAAUCCUUUGAGGGGUUUGUUCGGGGUAUCUUCACCUCGUUCGGAACCACAAUUAAUUGCCCCUCAACCUACUACACCUACUAAAAAUAUCUAAUAUGAAAUUCCUUCGGGUAUGAUAGAACAACUGCUAGCUAAUCCUUAUGCAGGAGAUGGAACCGAACAUCCUGAUAUGCACUUGAUAUAUGUAGAACAAAUUUGUGGAUUGUUCAAGCUUGCAGGUCUACCCGGAGAUGAGGUGAUGAAAAAGGUUUUCCCUUUAUCUUUGAAGGGAAAAGCAUUAGCAUGGUAUAGGCUAUGCGAUGAUAUUGGAUCAUGGAAUUGGAAUCAUUUAAAAUUGGAGUUCCACCAAAAAAAUUAUCCUACGCAUCUAGUUCAUCGUGAUCGGAAUUAUAUAUAUAACUUUUGGCCUCGUGAAGGAGAAAGUAUCGCUCUAGCUUGGGGGAGGCUUAAGUCAAUGUUAUAUUCAUGCCCCAACCAUGAGCUCUCAAGAGAAAUUAUUAUUCAGAACUUUUAUGCUCGGCUUUCUCGUAAUGAUCAAACCAUGCGAGAGACUUCUUGUGCUGGUUCUUUUUUGAAGAAAACAAUUGAAUUCCGGUGGGAUCUUUUGGAAAGAAUUAAACGCAACUCUGAAGAUUGGGAACUCGAUGAAGGUAAAGAGUCAGGUAUAAAGCUUAAGUAUGAUUGUGUUAAAUCUUUUAUGGAUAUCGAUGUUUUUCAAAAGUUUAGCACUAAAUAUGGACUUGACUAUGAGAUAGUAGCCUCCUUUUGUGAAUCAUUUGCUACUCAUGUUGAACUCCCUAAAGAGAAGUGGUUUAAAUAUCACCCACCUAUUAAAAAUGAAAUUAAAGAACCGGUACCAGUUAAAGAAGAAACUAUACUUUAUAAUGUUGAUCCAGUUGUUCCUACUGCUUAUAUUGAGAAACCACCUUUUCCUGUCAGGAUAAAGGAACAUGCUAAAGUUUCAACUGUGGUUAACAAAAGAUAUGUUAGAACACCUAAACCAGAUGAACAAAUUAGAGUUGAACCUAAUGUUGCUAUGGUUAAAGAUCUCUUAGAAGAAGAUGUGGAUGGGCAUGUUAUUUACUUCUGUGCAGAAGCUGCUAGAAUUGCUAAACCCGAUGAAAGGGAUAAACAUAGACCAGUUGUUGGCAUGCCUGUCAUUUCAGUUAAAAUAGGAGAUCACUGUUAUCAUGGUUUAUGUGACAUUGGUGCUAGUGUGAGUGUUGUUCCUUACACUUUAUAUCAAGAAAUUAAGAAAGACAUAGCACCUGUAGAGAUAGAAGACAUAGAUGUCACUAUUAAACUUGCUAAUAGAGACACCAUAUCACCUUGUGGGAUUGUUAGAGAUGUUGAAGUCUUGUGUGGGAAAAUAAAAUACCCUACUGAUUUUCUUGUUCUUGGUUCAUGUUCAAAUGAAUUAGGGGUUUAUUUCUUAGGCAUGUGCUAGUAGUUAGUGGAUUCGACGGGAUUAGAUAGGAUUCUAGUAAAUCCGAUUGGAUGCGAUCCCAAUCGAAUUCAAUCAGACCGAUCUGUUCUUGUUUCGUACAGUGUGUGUCCUAGGAUAAUUUUCUUCUGCUACUGUUAGUGUGUCCUAGGAUCUGUGUUCAUGCUAGUAGCUGUGUUCAUGCUAGAAUCCCCAAUGGUAGUGUGCUUUGCUAGGAUCUGUGUUCAUGGUAGGGUCUUGCUAGGAUGUGUGUUCAUGCAAAUGGCAUGUUCAUGUUCAAGCUAGGAUCAUGUUCAUGUUGUUGUUCAUGUUGCUACAUACAUGUUCAAGCUAGGGGUUGUGUUGAUUGUUAUACGUUCAUGUAGUAGGACCAUUUUAGGAUGCUGCCAAAUGUGCAUGGGUGCACAUGGGUGCUAUUGACACUUGCUGUUGCUAUUUUUAGACGUUUCCAUGCUUAGGAUAGUGCACUGAUGAAUGGCAGUUGUAGAAAAGCAGAUGCCACUGAUCAGUGGCAUUUGCUCAUGGGCAACUACCAUUAAUCAGUGACACUUGCUGUUGGUAAAGUCCACUGAUCAGUGGCAUUUUCCCAAUAGCAAGUUCCAUUGAUCAGUGGCAUUUGAUCAUAGAGUUUGUGCACUAAUCAGUGGCAUUUGCUCUUAGGCAAAUAUCUCUGAUCAAUGCCAUUUUGCAAAGAGUUUGUGCACUAAUACUUGUCAUCUUACCUGACAAGAUAAUGAAGACUGACUGGGAUGUGGCGGAUGGAGGAGCUCAGGUGGUGGCCGGAGCUAAGGGCGCCGAGGAUUUCAUCCCCAUGAAUAGGUGGCUCAGGACGGUGGACCUGCCUAGCAGGAUCGCCUUCAUGAGGCUGCCUCGUUCAAGGGGACGAUCUCUGAGGCAGGGCCAUGAGGAGGGGGCCCGGGAGCCGCUGCGCUUCUACCAGCAGAUCAAGGACAAUGAGGACCUCGCCAUGCUCGUCGUCCCUCGCCAUGCUCGUCGUCCGUUGCAAGUUCGUGGAGGUGAUGAACACCUGGCUGGUCAUCAAGCGGCUAGCUCCCGCGCGUGGUCAGGCUAUCGGCGAACAAGCGGUGCGUGUUCUGGGUACAGGUCCAGAAAUUCAAGGGGCACAUGGUGCUUGGACGAGGCUGGAACUACUUCUGCCGCCGCCACCGGAUCGUCCCCGACGACCUCGUCAUUAAGCGCAUCUCAGGACUCGGACUGAAGGUUCAGAUCUACAACCACAACUCCUCGGUCAUGUGUAGGUUUCGUUGCAGCAGUCACAACUGCGUUGGUGACAUCGAGCAUGCUAUGUAGUUAAGUUAAGUAAGGGUUAGUGUUGAACUUUUAUGGUGUGUGGCGGGACUUGUGCUGGGAACUUGUUCAUAUUUUGGCCAGGAGCAGCACCCUGGCAUGGAGCAGGGAAGGAGGAUGCCCCUGCUGUUAAUCUAGACUUAUGCUAUGUAGUUAAGUAGUUUGUUGUCAUUUCCUUGCUUGUUGUGUUUGAUUUCAUUUGGUUGUUUGCUUUGUUUGAUCUUGCUGUUGUGCUGAUCAUGUGGUGGUAAGGCCACCACAUUUGAACGGGGUGAGCAGAACACAAGCGCUGUUUGCAACCAAAUAGAUUAAGUUUGCAUCUGCUCACACCCUAAGCACAAAAACGGCAACCAAACAGCAGGGGGGUAAGUGCCCCUCCAUGCGAGGCAACCAAACAGGUUGCAUCUGCUGCAUAUGAGGCUGCAUUUCAAGAACCAGGCUGGCUGGAGAUGGACAUGCAAUACAACUACUGUUGCAAACUGCAACCAAACACGCCGAGAGUUGCCAAAAAUGACAACUUACUUUUUUUUGGUUGAUUCCAACUAUUUGCAUGUAAAGGCUAUUGAAUUAUACCAUUAAUCCGAAUAUGAUUAGCUAAAUGUAUUUAUUUAUCUUUUUCGAGAUGAAAAGGUUACUUGUUCCUCAUAUCUUCGUACCAGAAUGUUUGUCAUUCACCCCUACCCAUUGGCGCCCUCCUCUCGUGCUCCCUUUUCUUAGGGGUAAAACCAUUCUAAUUUUUGUCCCUAUUUUUCAAAAGGCAUCGGGAAUUGUUGAUGCAACGACAUGCUGAAUACAAUCCGAUGGAAUAUGAAACAAACCUUACAGAGUUGAUUGCUUCCAUUUGCUGAUCUCCUCGGUCCUCACCCAUUUGAUCUUGUGGUCAUCACAAGAUUUGAGCAUGCCCUGGAUUUCUUCAACAACCGGCCCAUCUGCACAGAGGAUUUUUGCUAUCGUUUUUUUUUGCGAGAAAACUUCCGAUCUAUUCAUCAACUGUCAAGGUAGUACAAGGAACAUCAUAAGUAAAAAUUACAUCCAGAUCCGUAGGCCACCUAGUGAUGACUACAAGCACUAGGCGAGCCGAAGGCAUGCCAAUCAUGCUUACCAUGCUUCUACAGAUAUGGUGUCAUGCAAAGUACUCCCUACUAGUUUCAAAAAAUGUCUUACAUUAUGGAACGGAGAUGAUACAUUAGAGGUGAGCCCAUGCUCGACAUGGAGGGCCUUUGGCCCUUGAGAGGGAGGGCUAGCUUUGCAUAAAGGGUGCAUGAUUCAAAUACAAUGACCCGAAGGGAAACCGAGACAACUUUUUGGUCCUGGUGCCUGUUGGUUUUCACUUUUUAUCAUGAUUCUAGAGAAGAUGGAUUCAACUACUCGGACUUAUGGCAUUUAUUUAACGUAAAAAAACUAGACAUGACCUUUUCCAAUCCAAAGAGGCCAGGCGCAUUAAGGCAGACGUUGAUUUCAUCGAUCCGUGUCCUUGUUGGCGGUGUCCGGAUCCGGAUCUGGGAGUCGGAGCUCAUCGCGCAUGUCCUAGUUUUACCAUGGGACACGGGUGAGUUGCCGAGCGAGAGCUCCGCGCUUUGGCACCAUUGACGGCAACGCCUGCGGGCACCACUAUCUUCAGGAGUGCCUUUGCACCUGGUACCAGCUCAAAAAAGGAAAAACUAUGUUUUUGUUACUCUAGUUUUUGCCCACUUUAUUUAUACCACUCUAGUUUUUGCCUACUAUGUUUAUACCAUUCUAGAAUUUGACAUCUCAUUUUUACACUCUUGGCUUUUGACAAUGUAUCACAAAUGCUAUUUGUGGCAAAAGCAAAAAAAAAACAUUUCACUUGCGACACUCUCAGCUUUUGACAAUGCACAAUUGCCAAGAGUGACAAAAGUGAAAUGUGAACAAUCUAAAGUGGCAUAAACAAAGUGGGCAGAAAGUAGAGUGACAAAAACAACCCUCCCAUGCAUUUACCGUAUCUUGCCGUCCCAUGCAGAUAUGCAUUUGUCUUGUUUGAGUUUCUUAUUAUUAUACUAAAUAAAAAGGCCGCACAUUGAUUGCUUUUGUCUCUCAGCUACAUAGAUCACGUGUGUAGGAGUGUAUCCCUGUCCCACAUGGAUGGAUAAUUUUAUUCGAGCUCACGUUGCAUCUCACCCUCCCUAUCCACACAGAGUCAGCCAGCGUGCACCUCGGGCUUCUUCCCAAAUCAUACUGUAAUAAGCUGAGGGUGUCUUUUUUGCAUGGUAUAAAGCUGAGGGUGUUGUUGUGUCUCAGUUGUUCAUUACGGAGUAAGUAUCUUUUAGGAACAGCGUUUAUACGAAAAAUCCUGCAGAGAGUGGUCCCGAAAGCGAGGCAGGCGCUAGGGUUUCCCCCGCUCCCCUCCCGCCGCCGUCGGCCGUCGGCCCCGCCCCCCGCCUCCGCCCCCCCUUCCGCCCUCCCCCUCCUCCGUCUAGGCCGCCUCGCGCCGCCUCCCCGGGAGGUGGCCGGGGCGGAGCUCGCGCCCCUCGCCCGCAGNNNNNNNNNNNNNNNNNNNNNNNNNNNNNNNNNNNNNNNNNNNNNNNNNNNNNNNNNNNNNNNNNNNNNNNNNNNNNNNNNNNNNNNNNNNNNNNNNNNNNNNNNNNNNNNNNNNNNNNNNNNNNNNNNNNNNNNNNNNNNNNNNNNNNNNNNNNNNNNNNNNNNNNNNNNNNNNNNNNNNNNNNNNNNNNNNNNNNNNNNNNNNNNNNNNNNNNNNNNNNNNNNNNNNNNNNNNNNNNNNNNNNNNNNNNNNNNNNNNNNNNNNNNNNNNNNNNNNNNNNNNNNNNNNNNNNNNNNNNNNNNNNNNNNNNNNNNNNNNNNNNNNNNNNNNNNNNNNNNNNNNNNNNNNNNNNNNNNNNNNNNNNNNNNNNNNNNNNNNNNNNNNNNNNNNNNNNNNNNNNNNNNNNNNNNNNNNNNNNNNNNNNNNNNNNNNNNNNNNNNNNNNNNNNNNNNNNNNNNNNNNNNNNNNNNNNNNNNNNNNNNNNNNNNNNNNNNNNNNNNNNNNNNNNNNNNNNNNNNNNNNNNGGCCGGCGGCAGGCGUGGUGACGGCGCCGCUCCUUGGCGGCGGGGCGGCGUGGUGGUGCUGGGUGGCCAUCGACGCACCCCCGGCAUGGUCUCGUUGUGUGUGGCGCGGUGAGGAGGUGGAGCGGCUCGGACUUGGGGCGUCGGUGCUGACGGCGUGCCGGCAGCAGCGCGAAGGCGGGAGCUUUACGGGCCCACGAGGGCUCGGCCGGGCCUGUGGGCCUACGGGCCUGGUGUGCUCCUGCUAUUGCGUCCGGACGGCUACUGUCGCGGACGGUGGAGGUGGGGCCCUCCCGCGUGCCGAUGGUGCUGAUGCCCUAGUCCCGGCUCUGAUUCUUCGCCGUGCUGUCCUCACUUCGCGGUGCCGUGGUGAGACGGCGUGGAGGCCUCAUGACCGCGUUGGUGCAGGGUGGUGGUUGGUUUGGUGGCGGGAUCCGGAGCGCCCGAGGUGCGGGUUGGGAUCGGGGAAAACCCCUGUCGGCGUGGCCGACUCCGGCGCGGUGGCGCCUAUGGGUGCCACCUGACCUUCCGGGAGGGCGUCGGGGGCUACCCUUCCUCUCGCCUCGUCGUGUAUCGGGGGAAACCCUUGGCAGCAGCGUCGUCAUCGUCGUGAUCCUUCUUGGAGGUGUUGAUUGGUGCCGGCGCUUCGGAGUCUUGGAGCCUAGUGGAUGAGCCCGGUGGGCCCAGCGAUCGCGAGGCUUCUUCGUUUUUGUUGAUCCGCCGUUGUCGGCAUUUGUUUCUUUUGCUCUUUCCCUGUUGUUUCUUUUGGGCGUGAUUGUGCUGCUUUUGCCCCAGCAUCUAUCCCUGUAUGAUUCGGUUGGUUGCUUUGUAUACAAAGCGGGGGGAAACCCUUUUUCGGCAAAAAUCCUGCAGAAAUCAAUAUUUCUCUUUUUUUAUGAGUCGAUGCAGAAAACAAUUUGUUUUUUCUUUGAGGUUUUGCAGAAAUCAAUCAUGUGAACCAAACUGGGCCUCAGCAGAGCAUUGCAGCAGCUCCGGCCCGCCAUCGUACUGGCCCAUACAAUUCCGAAAAGCCCAACAAGCAACAAGCCCAUAUAACCCCUUGUAUCACACUCAAAACUAAGCUUUCGCUUCUCUCUCUCUCAAAAAAAAAACUAAGCUUUCGCCGAAAAAAACGAGGGAAGAAGAUCAAUGCAUCAAUGAAAAACAGGGGGCAGUAAAUAGCACAUGUUAAUUAUUACUCUAAUUAUUCAACAACACUUGGUCGGAAACCACACGGAGUUGCUACACACCACAGGGAAGAAGAAAAUCGGCCGAUCGAGAUACACAAAUCGUAGGGACGCACAGCAGUGGAGCAAGCAAAGUACUGUAGCAUCCACACCACACCACACCACACACUAGUAUAGUAAAGCUAUGGCGAGCCGAGCGGCUAUGCAGGCUAGGCGUCGAGCACGGUGGG
rnacentral:lncRNA from 1 species